ACAAAAACAACAAAUUCAGUGCUCUAAUAGGCAAAAACAAAAAGGUGCUCCUUCCGGCCGGAAUUAUUUGUUUGCACAUGAUUCAAUUUUUUUUUUGUUUACACAUGAUUCAAAUUUACCGUUUCCGCAUGAAAAUUUACAUGCACAUGCAGGGCUUGAUAAUUGACACAUGUGUGUUUUUUGUGAAAUGUUUUGGGAAUAAAGAAUUGUUUUUUUCCAUUGGCACCGGCCGGUACUACUGGCUGCACCUUUGAAUUUCCUGUUGGGUAGCAACUAAACAAUUUUGCCAAAGUUUUGUUCCAAUAGAAUCCAGAUGCUUUCAAAAGAACUUGGGUCCAAUUAAAGUUACUUUGCACUUGUGCCAAGUGUAAACGACACACCUAAAUAAACGUGCAUGCACCUAACCUUACCUUUGUUUUACGUACAUCAAUUGAACCGAUGGUUACGUAAAUAGCUUGCGAAGGAAAGCCAUUUAACAAAUUGCAUGGAACAUGGUAUGAAACCUAUAAACGGAAAGAUGGAUUCGGAAAUGGUCAAGUCACCAUUGGGAGUGCAGUCUCAGACAUGCAUGCAUACUAACCAAACAUCAUGUGACACUUGUCGCCUGAAAUCAUAUAUACUUGUAGUUUUUAACUUUUAUAUUCUUCUUUUAUAAAGCUUGGCAUAGUUGGCAACAACCCUAGCCUAAUUUAGAUGCCACUUAGACAAGCACCACUUUUCCUUGGCAUGCUUCUCGCUUCCUCAUUGUGGUUUAUUGUUGUGCAUGCUGAACUUGUUAUACAAGUCAUUGCGCUUGCGAAGGCAAAAACUCUGGCCAGGCACCCAAGAUUAUCAACAACCCACUAAAAUGCUGAAUGAAGCCUAAAUUGUGCAGCUUUAAAAUAUAGAAUUCUUCCGAUCUAUAUGCCACUAACCCAAGGAAUGGUUUUUUCAUCAUCAGUUCCUCUCUUUGCGCUUCCGGGCGGCUCUUUUGGCCACUUUUCAUUUUAUUGGGAUUCUGAAAAACCUUUCAAAUGUGACCUUUGAAUUAAAAUGAGUAAAUGAUCUGAUCCCGUUUUAGAUCCAUAAUAUUUCACCAUUAUUGCGUAGAUCUGAUCUAGUUUUCCAUCAUCAAGAACUUCUAAUUUACUAUACCUGCUAGCAAACGGAUUGUUAAUAGAUAGUGUUUGGAAUACCACAUCUCUAUACAAGGAACGAAUAAGUUUGCUCCCGGCAGGAUUUCAAAGAGAAUAAAUGUUGCCGAAUCAUUUACCAGAAUUAAUUUCCACUAUUUUUACUAGUAGAUGCAUAGCACACGAAAUGUCUAUAUAGUAAUAAUAUUUUUCACCAUUAUUGCCCAGAUCUGAUUGAUUUCCAGCAUCCAGAACUUCCAUUUUACUGCACUUGCAUGGGCAGGAGGAUUCCAGAACGAGAGAGAUCGAUGCCUUUCUAAAGGUCGAAUCCGGCCGUUAAAUUGCUGCCAUUGCCAGCACUAAAAGAUGCCAAAAAAUAUUUUAAGCGCAAGGCGGUUCAUGAAGAGAUGCCAAACUAAAAAAUAUUGCAUCCUCAUUUGCCAUGCAUGCUGCAUGCAUGAGCCUCACAACGGCAAGAAAAAGGCAAUUGUUUUCUGUCCAUACAUGCUAGGGCCCCAGGCCUGAUCAGACGGCUCUGAUCUGACGCUGAGCUCUAUAUAAUGCCCACCAGCCCCAACCAAGCCUUGCAUCCCAACUCGUCCUGAUCCUAGCUAGAAAACCCCAUAGCAACCAAGGACGCAUACUAGUUUUUCCUUGAUAAUUGUUGUUUUCUCUGUACUUCGUGUAGUUCGAUUUGAUCGAAAACACCGUGAUCUUUGGGUGGUAGAGAUGAAGGGCAAGCGAAAGAUAUAGACAAGAAGAAGAGCUCCCUUCGAUCCAAUCCAGGAGGGGAAGUGGUCGGAUGCAGCUGCCGGUUCAUGGAUACCUGUCUGGUGCAUGCAGUGUGGUAAUAGCCUGCGCACCUGCAUCGGUUUGCAUGACCCGGGAGAUGAACCUGCCAGCGUCUUUCCCUCGUGCUUGGAUUGAAGGGAGCUCUCUCUCCCCCCUCUCUCUCUCUCCCUCUCUCUCAUUUGGACCUGUCAUGUUUGUUUUUGUUUGCUGAAGCUAACUUGUUCAUGCUUUCUCUUAUUCUUAGCAGGUUGCAAGCCGCGAAGAAAAUAGGGAAAGACGGAUGUUGCAAGCGCAUGCAUCCAGGAAGCUAGCAAAUAAAUUAAACAGUAAAAAAAUAUCAUCAAGGACAAAACCGAGGGCUCCAUGCAUUAUAUAUGUAACCAGCAUGUGGUUGUAUGCUUGCAUGAUAUAUAUAUAUGCGUUUCUCUUCCCACCUAAAUUUUCUCAAACCUGGACGAACCAUGCAUGUAAUUGUAUUCUGUAGUGUAGUGUAGAGUUCUUUGUUUGCCCGAAUUGUUAGGACUGUUUAGUCUCAAUUCAUUGGUAGAAUUUUUUUUUUAUGGCCAGAUGUGUCGUACAUCACCAUCUAAGCAUCCUAUGUUUGGGAGAAGGAUGCAUGGGUUGUUUGUUUAAAAUUUAAAGAAUGCGAAUUAAUUCCUAAAUAAUAUAUGUCCAUGAAAAAGAUCACACCAUAUGUUUCUGUCGUAUCUUUUCAAUUUAAUUUAGAGAAUGUGAAUUAAUUCGUAAAUAAUAAAUGUCCAUGAAAAAUGUCGAACCAUAUGUCUUCGUUGUAUCUCUUCAAGGAUGGUGCUCAUUUAUGGUUUAUUAAGGAAAUUAUUUUUGGUUUAUUUGGAGGGCAGGCGCAACAUUAAAUGGUUUCUCAUAAAUCAGUAGGCAGAAAAUGGAAGAAUCCACGAAGAGAAACUCGUGGUAGUACUGUUUUAUUGGCUAGCACCUGAUUUUGGGUCGACUUGCUCGCGGGCUGCUAUAUUUGAAGAUGCAAGAACAGAAAGAAAAAAUGUAUAGGUGAAUAGUACAAUUUUCUAUCUGAACUAUACAGCAUGACCAGCGGUAAUUACAAAUUGGAGCUACGUAAUUCCUUUUAGUUUUGCUAUACCUAAAUCGUCUGAUAUUUAGUUAUUUAAAGAAACUGUUUUGUUAUUUUUUAGGCGAAUGAGAAAUAAGUAUUUCUUAAUCGAUGAUAACAAUCUCUUGAUUCAAUCAGAUUCGUAUAAAAUUAUGUAGUUCUAAUGGAUAAGAAAAUCUUGAUUGGAUGACUACGAUUGUUGGAUGAGAAAUAGCUAUUUCUUGGGCGGCUAAAAAAUAGACACUGCCCUGCCUUAAGAGACCAAAAACCUUAAAAGUUGGUAAGAUCCAGUUUUUGCACACAUAAUUGAACACUGAGAACGAGAAUGUAACCAGCCACGCGACCACCUGCUGAUCUUACGCCGAGGACAGGACGACGACACGUUACGUCGAGGUGGACAAGUGUACCGCACACGCCUACGCACAGCUUCCCUGCUCACACGCAUCAACGUCGAGGUGACGUACUUAUCGCAAGAUGCAGGCUCCCGUCACGUCCCGUCGGCUUGGCCUGCUUUCUGGGCAGCAUGCAUGCAUCGUUUCCGUCCAUUUUAAAGUUGGCGUCAACCCGUGCAUGCACCGUUCCCUCGGAGCCUCUCCGUCGUGCACGGACGCGGGACUACUCUGAGACAGACAAAACACGAUACGAGAACACGGCCGCACGAAUUCAUCUGGAUCGCCCCAUUUUUCCUGGUUCUUUCUACUCCGCCCCUCGGCAUUCCGGUGGUUCACCUCAAUGUAUGGAUUUGCCCAAAAUGACACCGCAGAGACGUCUUUUUGGAGUUGAUGACCCGAACCAAGAAAGGCCGGGUGUCGCUAUCGUCGUCCCAAGCCCAGCAGGGAACGCUAUGUGAGGCUCCGUUUGGGAACGGACUUCCCCGCGCCUGGUUGCGAGUUGCGACGGCGUGUUGAUGCCCUGCCGUUCGGAUCACAGGACAAAGGCUGACUACGGUAUACUACUACGUAAAUCGAAGCCAACUUGUUCAAUAUAAAAAUAAAGAACCUGCAAUGCAUGAACAUUUCUGAAAUCCCAGCAAAAACUUCCGAAUCAUGUAAAAUAAUUUCUUUAAGACAAAUGAACAUGAACAUUUCUUUUAUUCUUUAGAAUGCAUAAUCAUCAAAAUUACUUUUACCAUUGAUUAAAAAAACGUCAAUGGCCGGUGCAAUCCCUUCGGGCGGCGGCAAGCCCUGUGGCAAAUAGGGUCUCCUGAACUCGUGACGCGAGCAAGACGACAGCUGGAUAGUAAAAGGAAAACCGGUUUUGCUAAGAGAAAAGUCGAUUGAUUCUUAUUUGUCGACCCGUUGACGGUCAGAUCUUAAUCAAAAGGCAGUGCGUGGGAGGUGAGAAAAUGAGGAUGAUGUCCGAAUCUUAAUCCAACGGCUCUAAUGGGUCGACUGAGAAUUAAAACAUUUUUCUUAAAAACCAACCGACUGAAAAUAACGAUAGCCAAACAAAAAGAGAUGAAUACCUCUCGGUCGACUGAGAAACAAUGUUUCUUAGCCAGCCGCAUGUGUGAUUAGCAAACUUUUGACCCCUCAGCUUGCAGGCCAGCCACCCAUGCGUAUGUAAAAAACAUUCGUGCUUGUAGCAACAUAAAUUCAAUACACACUUAUAUGAUUUUCAUGUAUAUUGUUACAAAUUUUAAAACGGUGCUAAAAAUUUCAAAUUUGGAAAAUACCGAUCCCAACAAAAGCACACUUGCACAACACAGCCAACGCCACGGAGAAAAGAAAAAGGCAAAAAAAUAAUAACAAUUAAAUUUAGAAAAAAUUCAGGUGAAACUUUACGAGCCAUUCUAAAGAUUGGAGUGAAACCUUAUGAACCAUUCUAAAAAUUGCGGGUGAAACUUUAUGCGCGAUUCUAAAAAUUGCGGGUGAAACUUUAUGCUCAAUUGUAAACAUUGCGGGUGAAAUAUUAUGCGCGAUUCUAAAAAUUGCAGAUGAAAUAUUAUACGGGAUUCUAACAAUUGUAGGUAAAAGUUAUGCGCGAUUCUAAAGCCCACUUGUAGGUAGAAAAUAAAAAGAGACACAAAUAUAACCAAGCAAAAAAAAAAGGAUACAGCUCAUUGGAUUCCACACUCCAAACAAAUAGAAAAAAUGAGGAAAUAUCACAAAACCCCAACUGUUGCGUCAUUCUUAUCACAUAACCACAAUUUCUGAGUAUCUUAUCCGAAAACCACAAACGCCUGCCCUAAUUACCUCCGUCCCCUCUUAACAGGCAAACUGACAAGCCCGAGCCACAUGUAAGGGCUGACAGGGCUCCACCUCCACACCAAAGUACUCGACAUCGUCGAUGUGCUCCGCCCGCCCGUGCUUCCCCCGACCGGCAGCCAUCGGCGCACGCAUUCGAUGUGGUCGCGUGGCACCACGCGUAGGGGCUACAGCGGUAGUGAGGCAGAUCGACGAUGACCUCGAGCCCUUCCGCCUCCACACCAUGGCGCUCCCGCACGCCUGCACGCCGCCCCUAUCCAUGGCGAACCGAGGAGGGCCAUCACGCUGCAAAUCAACAUCUAGACCCCGCCUACAGAUCCACAACACCCCCUCAGGGAAGAAAUGAGAGAGUCGCUCGGUGUCCGCGCGCGCCUUCGAUGGGGUGCGGCGGGGUCGACAAGCACGAGCAGCGGCAGCAAGCACGGCGCCUCCGUGUGCCUCUCCGGCCUUGUCCAAGCCUUCCUCGAGACGGACUCCGCCGAGGAUCCCGCGCCCAAGGGGACCGCGGUUAACGGGCACGAAUCCAGGGACGACAAUGGCUCAGCAGCUCGACCUGCCGGCGACACGCGGGGCAGCGGGCGGAGCGCGCGGGUGAGAGCGGCGCGGAGGCACGCGGGGGCGAGCGGCGCGGGCAGAGCGCGUGGGGGCGAGGAGCUUCGGUGGGGAAAAAGAAAAUCCACCCUUUGCCAGAUCAGCAGCCCCGUCAGCCCUUACAUGUGGGCCGGGCUUGUCAGUUUGGCUGUUAAGUGGAGCAAACGAUCAGAUUUGGGAGGACGGCGGUAAUUAGGCCAGGCGGUCGUGGUUUUCAGAUAAAAUACUCAAAAGUUGGGAUUUUGUGAUAUUUUCUCAGAAAAAAUCAAUAAACACACAGUAGAAAACAGGCCCAAACCAGCCCACAAAAACUGUCACAAGACUCACAAGCCAAACCCAGGCCCAUCCACCUCUCCUGGCCUGCUCGGGGAAACAAAUCAGCAGCCAUAGCAACCAACGGAAGUUUCCCCUAAAAAAAAAGCAAACCAACGGAAGCUGUAUAUAUCGCGAACUAAAUGAGCUACGUAGAAAAAUCUGGAAAAACAGAAUCGACUGUUAAACAGGAUUUCUCACGCGAUUGAGCAUUAGCAAAACUGAGAAAAAAAAAGUUGUAAAAGUUCACCCAAGGUAGAAGCGACCCAGCCCAUCACCACAAAAUACUAAGAGCCUGUUUGGGAGGGCUCCACUCCACCUAAACUUCACUUCACCUCUAAACUUCACUCCACCUCAGAUUCACUUCACCUGAUAAAUGUGUUUGGCACACAAACCAGUUCCAGCUACCAUUUCCCUUGUUUGCUGGUAUUUUUUUUUGUUUCUUUCCAUUAUGGAUCAAUACCACACGAGAUUACUUCACCUGUUGGUAUACGAUCAUCACAAGUAUUUACAAAUUGAUGAACGUGGCCGAUUAACACAUCUGCUAAUCGAUUGAUACAAACUGAUGAACCUACCGAUUAACUCACAGCUGCUGAUAGAUUGAUGCAUGUAUUUCUUUUGUGUUUCGCGUGUCGUAUACAUACAUCAAACACACAACUUGCUUGCUUUAGAAAAUUAACACACAACCCGCGAUCCGUUGGAGGAGGUGGCGACGGCUUGGCGACGGUGCAGUCCGGAGGAGCAGCGGCGAACCCCCGUGGCAGCGGAGAAUCCUGUUAGCAGCCGCGGCGGAUCGCGGGAGAUCGAGGGAAGCGCAGCGGGCGAGUCGGCGGAUCGCGGGAGAUCGAGAGAAUCCCGGCGGGUGAGCCGGCGGAUCGUGGGGGGACGGCGGACUCGCCAGAGAUGGCGCGCGCGGGCUCGUCUAGGGGCAAAGAUGUGCCGCCAUGGCCCAUGGGGACUUUGGGGGUCAGGGAAUAGGAGCAGUCACAAGGCUGAGGCUUGAGGAUAACGGUUCGAGCUCAUAAUGGCAUUGGUGGGUAAAUUAUCUCAACUUUAGAUGAAGUGGAGCAGGUGAAGCAUCUCUUUCUUGACUCCACUUCACCUAAUACGUGGAGUUUAAAACGUUUGAGACAACUUCAUCUCCUUCACUGGUGAAACUGUAAAGUGGAGCUGUAACAAACAGCCUUUAAGAUCGCUAAGCUAACGAGAAAAUCGCAAACGCAGGAUGCAGCGAAGCGACCAAGAAGGCAAGGAAAGACGUGUAUUUUUGGCGAGGUACAAAGAAUGGUGUGGUCAAUUUUUCGAAUUAUUCUGUUUCGUUUACACGCUGCUUGAGCUUAGUAUCUCCGUAUCGUCGACGUCGUCAAACAAGGCCUUGGACACGGAGUCGAACGACCUCAUCUCGUCUCCCUCGUCAGACCCCGACGACGUCUGCUGCUGCUUCUUCGCAGCCGUCAUGGGCGUUUCAAACACCAUGUCGGUGCAUGACACCCGCCGCUUCCUCCGCUUCGAGUGCUGCCUGGACCGUGGCACCGCCGCCGGGGGAGGCUCUUUCCCCGGGUGCUUGAGCGCCCACACGCGGUGCAGGUCGGGCACCCAGCUGGUGAAGGAGGAGAGCCUCCGCUCCCUGUUCCGUCGCUCGCGCGCUCGCUCCAGCUUCUCUUCGUGCCUGUCGUGGUGGCGGCUCCUUGUGGGGGGCGCGGAGGCGCUUGCGCUGCCGAUGCAGUUCCUGCGCGCGCUACUCCGGCUCCUGUCAGCCUUGGUGUCGUCCUGGUGGUUGCUGCUGCUGGGUAAAGAAUCUGAACAUGGCAUCUCAUCGUCGUCGAAUAGAUCGAACUCCAUCUCGGUGUAUAUCUUCUUGAUCACAUCCUCCAUGGAGUUCAUGUACCUGAAAACAUUGGGGAAGUCAUAUUAUACACCUGAAACCUGAAAAUUAUUGGGCCUCGUUGUCAUACAGUAACUUUCAUUUGAACACUUUGAAAAUUACGGGCGUCAGUGUCACAAGUUUUUUCUCUCUCUCGAACAUGCACAAAUCUGUGUGCCAUGCUGUAUUAGACAAGUCACGGUGUGCCCUGCGCCCCUAUAUCCACCAUCCAUUCAAAUCGCUAUGAAGAGUGCAGAUAAGGGAAAAAAAAGCAAAACUGCAACUGCGCGGGCUCUCGAGCGAAGGUCUGCCGAUCUCCCGCCUGCGCCUCCGCCGAGGGCAAGGAAAGGGAGCAAGCUCCGGCGGCCGCCACUGGUUCCUCCGCCCCUGCUACAACGGGCUCCUAUGCCCCGGACAGCCCGCUCUGAGCAAGCUCCGGCAGCCGCCACUGGCAUCUCCGCCCCCAUUACAACCCCUGCCUCGCCCCGCUCCGACGGGCUCCUACGCCCUGCCCCGCUCAUGAUCCGUCCGUCCACUUCGUCUGUGCCAUCGUCUGCACGGGCUGGUGGGGAUGGAAGCCAGGUUCUCCAGGUGCUGAAAUCGGUCGCCAUGGUCCAUAUGCGGCUGCUGCCGACGAAGGAGAUGCAUAUCCAUUCCCAGCACAGCCCUGCGCGGCUGCGCGGUCCUAUUCCCCGUCCUUUGUGACUCUGUCUACCCUUUCCAUCUAACUGAAUGUCCCUAGUGUGAAGAAAUUGGAAUAGCUACUGCUAAGCCUGCAAAGUCUGAAGAAAAUUGUUGCCAGCCGUCCGAUUUUAAAUGGAUGGUGGAUAUAGGGGCGCAGACCACACCGUGACUUGCCUCUGGCAGGGCACCGGAUCCCAGUCCGUUUCGGUGAUAUAAAUCAUAACCGAAGAAAAUGUAGAGCCCUCCUGCGGCCGCAGACAAGGGGUCUAGUUAGAAGGCCUGACUUGCAGUGGGCCAGUGGCAGCCACCUCACAGCCUCACCACCAUUGGCUAGCAUCCAGAGGUUGGCUUCACACAGGAUGGCUUCGACCAGCGCAAGGCAACCUGGUGUGGCGCUAUCGGAAAUGCAGCAAUGAAGGUAGGCAAGCAGUACUUUCCGUUGAACCCUACGAAAGUUAUUGUGCAGCACUAUUAUCACAGUAAGAUCCGUAAUACACUAAAUACUUUUAACUUUUAAGUUUCAAGUGCAAACUACGUAGUUCCUAGCCCAUAUUACCAUAAACAGGAAGCAAAAUUUGGACAACACAACAAUCCAAAGUCUAUUUUGUAAGAAAUGAAAAUGGCGCUGAGAAGGUCUAAGAGAUAGUCUCUGUUCAUCUAAAAAAAGGGUCUAAGAGAUACUAGUACUCCAAAAUUUGGAGUCCAAGGUUAUUUUGAAUUGCAAUAUUUUUGUUUCAAAAGAGAAGGUAAAUUUUUCUUUCAAAAGAGAAAGUAACAUAUUGCAACAUAUUUCUGAAGUGGUACUUGUAAGUCAUAGCUACAGUACAAAAAGGUGUACAUGUUAGUCAUUUUGAUCAUACAAUAUCUUCUUUUUGAGAAACAAGCUACAGUAUACCCUUGCGAGUUUCACUUUGAUCAUACGGUAAAAGGUAAGUGCGCAAUAUAUUCACAAACAUGCAGGCCAAUAUAAUAUCAUUGCACUUCAACUGUCCUUCGAAGUUAGAACCUGAUGUACCUAUCUCAUAUUUAUUAUCGAAAUAAAUAUACUAAUAUACAAUGCUUUCAUCCUCAAGACAGGCUCAAGGAACAUGAGCACCACCUUCUUGUGAUGUACCUAUCUCAUAUUUAUUAUCGAAAAACCCUACUACCUCAUUUUCACAAAGGUUGGCGUAUUUGGUUUCGUCAAGACAAAACUUUGACCAAGAAGUACUAAAUAAUAUGUGUUUUUUCAUUUUCAUACAUGAAAUUUAUAUCAAUAGAUUCAUCUUAAAAAGUUCUUGCUAGUAAUUAUGGUUUCGUGUCAUAUAAAUUACAUAUUAAUAGAGUUAUCAAUGGUCAAAGUCUUUGUGAGGGAGUAUCUCGUAUUUAUUUUCACGUCAUUGGAGCUUACGAAUUAUGUUUACAGAAGGACGAGAAAGGUAAUUAUAAAUCAAAGCAAAUCCUGAGCAUUUGAACAAUAGGAUAAGUUAUAUAACCUGUAAUUACUGGUAGUAAUAGUAAUAGGGAUAUACAAUAGUACAAAAAUGAGCAAUACUGAGAAAAGUAUGCCAAAUUAGGACUUUCAUCAGUUUGUUAACAAUACCAGGGAUUAAAACUACAAUUUGCAUUUAAGCAUGCAUAUUUUAUCUGGUAAAGUACCACUGAGUAUGCAUGUCUUUCACCAAAGGUAUAUAAUAUGGUUAGUUGUUUUCAUUGAUAGAAGACUAGUUUUUUCACACAAAUGCUUGAUUCCAGGUACUGUGCUAGUGUGCUUAGCAUAUAAUUCCUGGAAGUAACAAAGCAUUGCCUCUAUUAGUUUAGGUAGCACGAAGUACAACCUCUACCCACACUUCAACACUGAGACUCCCAAGCCUCCAGACUCCAGAUCCAAUAUCCCAACAAACACACUAUCAAAAUAAAUUCAAUGCACACGGAACACAAGACAAACCUGGACUUAAUAGUCUUCUCAGCAAACUUAACGAUGCUGUCAGACUGAAAUGUAUCUCCUUGGAGGUUGAUAUCAAUAAACUGCAACAGAGAGCAGAUUUCUUUUACCAUCUUCUGUUUCAAACCUUCCUCGAAGUAAGGCCCAACUUCAGACUUGAUUAUUUCCAUCCGAAGCAAUAUCUGCAGUUCAUGCCUGAAACAUGCUUGUUAAGGUGUACAAGACCACACAAUUUCAUACGUCUAUGGAUUUUACUAUUGUAGAGGCGUAUCAUAGAAAAUAAUUGCAAGGCUGGAAGUAAAAUAACUGCGCAUUAAAAAGGAUACUCUCUAAUUUUGUAAUUUGUUCUGUACUUUGAGGUCUGCUCUGAUGUGGCAGGUGCUGCAUUGUUGUCUUUGUACUUCAACACAAGCUCUUUGGGUUUCCUCAGCAGAAUACUGGAAGCUUCACAGGCAAUUUUUGCAUCAGAAGCAUCAUCUACUUCCCUGUGUUCAAAAUACCUAACUGAAAUUUUGCCAUGCUUAAUCAAGAGCGCAUGGAUGGACAAGCCAACCAAGCGCUCAGCUAAAUUCCCCAAAUCAGCAUCUUCAGAACAAAGACCUUGCUCAAUCUUCUGAGGGAUACUCCCAAGAAAUGCUUCUAAAUCUUCCAUAGAGGAGAAUGCUGGACUCUCUUUAUUCACUGGUUGCUCCACUUUGUUGCAAUCCACUUCAUCCACCGGUUUGUCCAUUUUGUUAUCAUCUGCUCCAUCCAAUGAAAAAUUGACAUGAGAAGCUGAAGCUUCCUCCUCUGAAACUUGAUUUUUUGCUUCUCCUUCAUCCUUUGAGGAAGGACACUUCUCUCCUUCUGUAUGAGCUCUUGAUGAAGUACUAAGACAUGACAAUUUCACUUGUUUAAGCCAACACUUCAAAAACCGCAACUUCUUUGAUUUAGUGGCAUAUCUGGUGAAAUACAGGUCUUCCAAGUCCACCACCGGCAUGCUGCCAUCAGCAUGUUUGAGGAGCGCAUCGCAGAAUGUGCUCCAGCUGGUAGUCUCAAGUAGCUUACGGGCCAGCUUGGUUCUCUUCUUCCUCACGCUCUGGUCCUUUGAUGGAUCAGGCACACAACUAUCUGGCAUCCCAGGACUUUUCGCAACCAGCUGUCCUAAACCAGCGCCAUUCCUAUCAACAUGCAGUAAUGCAUAGUUCAUCGAGAAAGGCACAAGAACACCAUCUACAGAGUUCCCAUCUUCACCAGACACUGACACCAUUGCACAAUAGUUCCUCCUAUGAAGGAAAAUCAGAAUGAGCUGCCACAUAGGCAUGCCAGCACCAAACCCUUUCUUCUCACCGGCGAGCACCAAUUCAAGAAGCCGAUGUGGGAAGAACUCAUUGUCCAUAGCUUCUUCGCUGUCACCCUUGCUCCUAUCCCUUGGCGACCCACGGACCAGAACAACCUCGUCAUCUCUGCGCAUCAACUGCUCCCAAUUCCCCACGUCACACACUGUCUUCACAUGUAUCCUGGAGACACCAUCAACACCCACCCGCCACGGUGUGGAGCCAACCACCUCGACCUCACAUCCCUUGCAGACCAGCGGCUUCCCCUUCACAUCUUCGAUCUCCAACACCACCUCACCUCGCCCUCCGCCCCCCUCACACCCAAAGCCAACGCCUCCCCACACGAGCCUGGGCGGUGCAACAACUGACCCUAAAGCAACGGCAUCGGUGGUCGUGAACCGCCACCCUAGCUCCGUCACCGCCCCUCGGAUCCCUUCGCUGGUGGAACCGACGGCGACCCAACACACCUGUACCCCCCUGGCCGAAAGCCGGUCCUUCACCGGCCCGAAAACCUCCCUAAACCUCUUCCCAAAGGUCGUGUUCUCACCGAAUUCCUUGAAAUCGGCAGCGGGCGUGAAGAGGACCACCAAAUUGGGCGGUCGGUCGAAGACACGGCGGCGGCCGUGCUGGGGCUCGGCGUCCCACGGGUAGUCGUGUUCGAGCUGGAGGAGUGAUUUGGCGAUGGAGUAAGAGGAGGCGGGAACCCGGGGGUUUGGGCAUCCAGGGACAGCGAGGCGGCGGAGCGGGGUGAGUGAGGCGAGGGUGGCCGGGUGGAGGUCGAAGGAGAGCGGGCUGGGGGCGGCGGGGAGGUGUUUGGGGAGGAGGGAGGAUGAGAGGAUCGGGGAGAGGGAGGAGAAGAAGAGGCGCGCGGCGGAGAGGGAGGUGGGGGAGAGGGAGGCGGCGAGAAGGGAGGUGACGGCUGGGAGGACGACGGCGAGGUAGGAGGAGGCGGCCUGGGCGGUAGGAGUACUAGGGUUUGCGGAGGGUAGGAGGGGGUCGAGGUCGACGAGGAGGACUACGCGGUGGGGCUCGCCGGUGCCGGCCGUCAUGGGUGGGCGGCGGCGGCGGCGGGGAGCGGGAGGAAGGGAAUUUGGUUGGGGCAGUAGAUCUGUGUGCGGGUUUUGGCUUUGGAUUUUUUUUCUUUUUUCUAGUGUGGCUUGUGGGGCAGGGGUUUCCAAAAUUUUGGCGGGAAGGUUGGACGAGCCAAAGCAGGACGCGGCUGGCUGGCCGCCCGCUGGUGGGGUCCAGUCGGCAGCUACAGAUCUAGGCAGAAUGAACGGGGUCGGGGAGCGUUUCUUUUCCUUGACGAAAUCGACUCUUUCAAAUAGUUCAACAAAUAUCACUCCGGUUGAAAACUUUAAGCAAAUUUGAAUUUUGUUUCCUCAGUGUGAAUCGCUUUAGCAUUGAAUUUGGCCAAGUGAGCAUUGAAGGAACUUAGCAAAAUUGAGGGUAAUGAAAGUUACUUUAGUGUCGAGCUCUAUAAGUUCCACACCAAGGACUCAUGCGCCAACUUCAGGAACUUCGAUCUGUUAGCGAUUUCAUAAACAAAUUCACAAUGCCGAAGUGUACAGUGCUAAACUGGACAAGUUCGGUCCCACAAUGAUUAGCAUUGAGGAAAAGAGGUCAGAUUUUAUUAAAGUUUUUAGCUCGGAUCUUUCUGUUGAACUUUUUAAAAUAGGUCAACUUUGACAUUUUUCACAUGAGGAAGAAGGUGGCCAGCUGUGCCACGGUGGGCGGCGGUUAGUGUAGGAGCGACAUAUAUUGGUGGCAGGCUUUUGAUAACCGGUCGAUACCACUCCAUCGUUUAUCAGGCUUACCCCUCUAACAAAUGGUUGUACGAGACACAACAAAAACACCGUUUAAUCAAAAUUCAUGUAAAUAUUUAAAAAAAAAAUUAUACUCCACGAGUCUUGUUAUCCUCUUUCCAUCUGCCCAAGCCAUGUCGUCUUCCUCGACCCACUGUAACUUCUUUCUUCCUGCUGUAACUUCUUUCUUCGUCUUGUCAUCCUCUCUUUCCUCAGCUAGCUCACUCUUUUCCUCCAAUACCACUUGCAUCAAUGAGUAUUUUCCCCUUGGCUCUCUGCCCAAGCCAUGACCGAAUCUGGCGUCCGAUAUUAUACAAGAAAGAGGAGGGAUCAAUGCAUAGGGGUCUUAAUGUGGGCCGUGGGCGUCAGGAGAAACCGAGGAAGUGGUAAUACGGGCAUAUGGGUCGUUGGAUGUUCAUGCACAAAACACUGGCAGGGAUGAAAAAACGAAUUCAACAGCAGUUGUUAAAUAGACAUUCCCAAUUUAAUUUUCGUUCUACUGCGUUCUACCCUGAGUGCUGAAGCCAGACCGUUUUAGCUAAUUGGUUAUUUCGGAUGACGAUGUUAUAGUCGAUACUGCUUCACCCAUUCUAAAGCUGAUAAAGGGCAACCACAGAGAAAAGUCCCAGUGAGAAAACAAAUCACGCGUCCACAGAAAUGGCAUCACUACACAUAUGAUCAUCCAAGCCUGGAUAUUCAGUUUAUUUCGCUUGUUUGGUAAGGGAAAGUCUGCAGUGAAAAGAAGCUCUCCUCCUAACCAAAAGAAUGACACAUGUAAAUUACGGAAGAGCUACCCAAAUGAUUUCAUGGACAUUGAUCAUGAAGGAGCACCGAGCAGCAACUGUGCAUAAUUCUGUUUACAGGAAUUGUUCACGCAGCUACCUGCCCCAUAAGGCUUUGACGGAUCUGAAAAAAAAAAAGCACAGGUACCACAGAAACGUCAGUACCUCGUGGUAACUGGAGGCAGGAUAUAUUCAUAUAUCCGUGAUCACGUAUUCAUAAUAUGCUCAACUGAAUACAGGACAUAUUAGACCACAAGAACUCUUUUUUAACUUCUCAGAAACUAGCAUCUAGGAUUCUCAGAUUCCAAGGAUAUUCCUCCUCGAAAAGAAAAAAAGAUUCCAAGGAUACAGGAAUGUCGGAGCCUCCUGUUUCCCCCCCUGUAACCCCAACUCUGUUAUACUCUUGUUUAUAUACCUUUAUAAAUAUAUAUACUGACAGAGCCUCUACUACAGUUUUCGGUAAAAAAAGAGGAUGCCGGAAUGUGGAAAACGUAGGAUUACAGUAUUGCUGCCGUGUGGAAUCCUACAAGAUUAAUGUUUGAUUGCACCACAGGAAAAACGUAUGGAUCUUUCUAAGAACGGUCAAUGGGAAUGUUUCUAUGAAGCUAGUGCAAAUGAAUCCUUAGGAAACUCUAUGGAUUAUAAUCCUACAGAUCAAACAGCAACUCCCAAAAAACUCUUUUUAAAUCAGAGGCGUCCUCAAGGACACCAAAGGCACUUCAACAUGUAAAUGGUAAGUUACCAUCUGCAGAUCAUGUUCAUUUUCUAAUUAAAUAUACUAGGUUAAAAAGAUACUCCAUAUAAUCAACAAGAUUGCUCUCAAAUAUUAAAUGACAAAUUUUACCGUAACCAGUUAGCAUAUAAAAUGCACAGUUUCCCCCGGCGCCGAUUAGGAUGUAAUUAAUCCAGGGGAAAUUUAACAGGAUCACUUACGAAUGAAAAAGGCAAAGGACAAAAGAACAACACAGUACAUACCUCAGGUAGCUUCUUUCUGAAAACAACUUCUAGUCUAGCAUCCAAUGUGUUUUCGAAGACGAUCUUUCCAUCUUGGGAAGCUAGUACAACUCCACCAGAGCUAGAUUAAAAGGUACAAGAGUAAGCUUUAGACAUGACAUCCACGGAUUUAUUAGUCAACGAGCAUGAUUUAGUUAGUUUCUUCUGGAAACAACAGGUCUAGGAAAUUUACUCAAGAGAAAGGACCACUCAAAUGGACUAUAGUAUGAAAAUAGGAAUAGCACUUCGAAAAACAUGUGAACACGUAGGAUAGCAAUGCAUAAACAAUUGAACAAAAGAAAAGAGAAACCACAAAGAAGAAUGCUGGCAAUGGUGGCACUGGCAGCAGCUUCUUCAGGGUCGAAAUGAGAAUGACUUGUUCUUUCUUUCUUGCUUAAGGAAUAAGUCAAUCUGCCUCUGCCUCCUCUUUAAACAGACAGGUCCAAACAAAUAGCUCUAGAAGUGAAGAGAUAGAUAAAUAUUCUAAUAGACAGCUUGGGUAUCAAGUCACUAAAAAAUGCAAGAUAAAGGUACUGCUGUAAACAAAAUAAAGGUGUGUGUCUUUGCCACUGCUGCACAUAACAGCUGGAUGGAGAUAUUCCUUCCUAAUGCCCCAUUCCAAUCCACACAAUGGGAGCAACAGGGCACUGUUUCAAGAAUAAACACAAACAUGCCAAGAAUAUUGAGAAAAGAAAAUCCCUUCUUCCAGUUACAUAUGCUUCUACCAUAUGGCAUGUACCAUUUGCCCAUUUGCAUCUAAGAAUGUUGCAUUUAAGCCGCCUUACAACAGGUUCUAUCAUAACACAACUCAAAUACUCGAGUAAAAUAAAAUGCAAUCUAAUCAUACCAAAGUCCUUCAAAUGCUAGUGCACAUUCAGGAAGGAAGCGCUGAUUAUUGAAAUCAUGAUUAUGAGUAAAAGACGUGAACUAUGAUGGAUACUUAUGGCUUACUAUUCCACACAAAAAUGCAAUUAACCUUCCAUAAAAUUUAAAUGAUGAUCAUAUUCCUCAAACAAACAAAAAUGAUGAUCUUGAGUAAAGAGGUGUAGUAUGAUGGAUACUUGUGGCUUAUGUACACAAAAAGACUGCAAGUAUUACCAGGAUUGGCCAUGUGCCUCAUAAUGACUAGGAGCAGAAGGCAGAUAGACUUGACGGUCUACCACGAUUUCAGGCGGAUAUACAUUUGCUUUUUCCGCAUAUUCAUUCCUCGCCAACUCCAAAACUGAUUCAACGAGAUCACGGUCCUCCUUCCUGCAGCGGAGAAUCACCGCUGGUUCUUUCAGACGCAACAAACCCUGGUGAGGUAACAUGUCGCAUUAGAUAAUACUACUGGCUAUUUAAAAAGUCAUGGAAACACCGAAAUAGUGCCUAUUUAUUAAAAAUAAAAGAUCCAAGUGUCUCUACUUACGAUAUACAGAUGGUUGGCUCUACUCGCUAUAUACAGAUGGUUAGAUAUACCAUAAAUCUAAUGAUUCCUCAACAACAGCAACUAUUUACAUUCAACUAUUGUCUACUCAUGUAAUAAAGUCUUACAAAAACAAAAUACAUAUAUGUGGAACAAUAACCCUUGCAAAAGUUAAGAAUAUAGUAGAAAAUUAUCACAGUUUAAAAUCUACUCCAAGAAGUAGAAAUGUUACUCUUCAAGGAGAAGAAAAUAACCAGUUCCUAAACUUUCACAGCUACUGCUGGAAUUUGGCAAACUAAAUCCAAAAUAACCAAUUUUAAUUUUUUAGUCAAUUUCCAUGGAUAUCUGCUGUUUUUCAAGAAAAUAAUUCACUCUGUUACAUAUUUGGGAACAUGAUGGUAUUACAGACAGCUUCUGCCCAAAAUCAGAGAGUUUAUGACCAAAUUUAACAUCGGUAUUGGAUUGUGUUAGUGUUAUCGUUAAAAGUAAGAGUCCUACCACCACAGAGUAACCAGGAAAUGGCCUGAAAAUGGUAGCCUAAGGGAGACCGGUUAGUCGGUUACUAGCUCGAGAGUCGUGUAUUCUAUGUGUCUCCUCUUGGCAGUGCAGAUGUUCUUAUGUGCCUACCGGUGGAUGAAUUCACAACCCAUGUUUUCAUGCAUUAUGUUGCAAAUGAGCUAUUACUUGCAGUAGCAGCAAAAAAGAUCACACUUCGUAUUCAAGUUAAGAUAAAAAAAACCAUGCACAUUGUACUCUGCUGACCUGAACAAUAAGUAUCCUGAUAAGUUUCUUGUAGGUUUGAUGAUCUCGGCUUUGGAACAAUAGCUGUUUCCCAGCUGACUCCAUCAUAGACUUUACCAAAUCAUCUUGAGCUUGAAGAACUUCGAUUCGGGAAGCAUUGAGCUGCAUUGAGUAUUCACUGCAUAAAGUAACACACAAUCAAAUUUAGAGAGCAAUCCAUCUGUUUUAUCUUGUUUGCGACAUCCUAGAUUUAUCCAGAUGAGGAGGCCAUUAUGCCAAAAGGAGAAAAGUUACAAUUAGUAUCUGAUGAACUGGUUACUCUCCAGUGUGCAAUUUGUAGAAGAAAAAUAAAUAGUACAACCCGGACUAAGAACUUUUACAUUUUCUUUUUGAUAGCAACUUGCUUCUCUUUCCGUUCAUACUCCUGCCUGAUCUUCUUCUUUUCAGCUUCCACCAGUUGCAAUUUCUCAAUUUCAAAUUCCUGAGUUAUCAUUCUCAUCAGAAAAUUAGUAUAUAAAAUUUGAAGAAGGCAUCACCCAAAUUAUUAGGAUUUACUCAAGCCAUGCUCACCCAUUAUCAAAUAUCCCAACAAUCCAAUGCACACAAAAAAAACAAUGGAAAUAAUAGACUAACAGAGUACUUCAGGGGAACAUUAUAAAGUUUUUUUUUCCGACAAACCUCAAAGGGGUAGGGAGUUCCUGCAAUUCACCGUAGAAGAGUAGUUACCCAGUUAAGUAUAUAACUUUUCUAGAGUUGCAUUACAUUGUAGCACAUAAUUUGUUACUGUGCUAUUGAAGGAAGGACAAAUGGAUGUCCUAAUUAGUAGCAGCACUCGUACAGAGAUACUCUAGUCAUGCUAGAGAAUCUGCAAAAAUUGCAAUAUAUGCCACAGAUCACAAACAUUUGACGAGGUUCCAUAAAAAAAAAACAGAUCACAAACAUUGCUAGCAUAAAAUUCGAACAUUCCAGCAGCACGCGAUGUAGGAAUCUCAAGACAAGGCUAAUCCAAAAGGCAGCCCCCCAUUAACCCAGGCCCCAAAGAAGACCUCUCAGGGCGACGUCGUUGUCCGAUCCAUGCCCCCAGUUCGCUAGCACCAUACGCUACCCUGGAGCCUUAACGCAACAGAUCCGACCCUCCGCGACCCCGAUCUCGCCGAUCGCAGCCGGGAUCCAAAGCUGACAAGUCCCCUAGAAGUGGAACGCACAGCGGAAGCGGAACCCAGUGUUACCUCGGCGGAGGCGACCUCGAUCUCGGAGGCCUUCUCGACGGCCUCCAGGCGGAUGAAGUCCGUCAUCUGCUUGAGCUGCCGCGCCACAUCCCCUUGGUCCAUCUUCGCGGUCGGUUAGAAAGAUAGCAGUGACUAGUCAGCCCUUCUUCUCCGGUGAUCGGCGGGGCGGUGACGGCGUGCGGGGAUGGGUUUUGAUUUCUCGUGGAGGGUGUCGCGGGCGGCGUCGUGGCGAUUCGUUUCUACGAGGGUCACGUGGUCGACGGGGCCAGUUUUGCACGCGCCCCCUUGGGCAUUACCAGUGUUUGAGUCAGAUCCGAGUUUGGAUUUGCAAUCUGCUCCAAACACGAUUUAUUCUUCGUUCUUCAAAGUUCAAACCCUGGGCAGUGUUGAGUAACUUACAAGUUUUGAUAAUUUUUAUCUAAAAAUUAGUUUCUACAGUACUCCAUCCAUUACAUGAUUCUUGUCGAAAAAUUACAUGUAUCUAGACGUUUUUUAAGAAUAAAUACAUUCAUUUUUGAGCAAAUUUGAGACAAGAAUUAUGAAACGGAGUGAGUACAAUAUUUUUUGCAGUACUUUAGUUUCUACAAUUACCUUUGUUUUCGCGAGUAUUUGACAUGGAGUUAUUUAUUACACCAGAUGUAGGAGUAUGCAAAAACUGAAUACAAACACGAAAAAAAUUCGUACUAGUGAAAUUAACACUUGUCUUUUCGUGAGAGAGCUCUGUUGUCUGUUCGUCUUUGCUGGUAUUACAAACUGGGACAGUUCAUGUUCGGUCCACACUCGCGUAAAGCAUAAACGCUGAGAAAAAGCUCGAGUGGCACAAGAACGAAGAAGAUAGAGUACGCAAUUUGAGCUGGCACAAACUAGGAGUAUGCUCUUUAAACUUGUACUCCGUAUAUACACACAGGUAGGGCACACGGGAACUCUGAACCAGCAUACCACGCACAAGAGAAGCCCAAAGCAGACGCCGGGUGAGAUGCGCAUCUACGAGAACGAACGAUAAAGGAUUACAGGGUACACACAUGAAUUUCUACUCAUCGCCAGAAAAAGCAGCAAGAGGUCCGGGGCCCCUGGCUUUCAGAAGUAGGGGAAGCGCCCCAUCAUGGCCGGCGGCGAGCCGGACUCCCUGCAGAGGGAGUCGAGCUUCCACCCGGGCACAGACACGGACACGGACUGACUCUCCUUUCUGCUCGCCGGGGAAGGCGAGCCCGGGCUGACGGGCUCCUUGGUCGCCGCCUUCACCGCGUCCACGGCGCCGCCCCCCGCCGCCGGCCUAGGCGCCGGGACGAUGGUUAUCUCCGGCGUCCGACUGCUGCUCCCUUCCAUCUCCUUGCUUCUUCCUAGUGUAUGCUGUAGAGAGACCUUUUUUCAGUGUUAGAACCAGUGUUCUGUUGUGCAGUGCAGUGCAAUCUGCUUUGCCUUUAUGCAAUUUGUAUCCGGCUUUACACGGCGAGGAGACAAAGAUAAGAGCGACGGCGAUGGGUUUGGUUCUCUUCUUUAUUGGUGGGAGAGGAUAAGAUCAAGAUCGUCAUCAUGGGUUUUAUUUUUGAACAACUCAGCACUGAAUUAUCCUUGAAUUAUUGCUCAAGAUAUUGACGAGCUGGUGGACCUUGACAGAGACCGAUCGCUUUUCUUUCGUGGUUAGUUUUACCUUAUCCUCUUUCCGGGGUAAUUUUGUAAAAUUUGGCUUUGAAUCAUUCAAAAUGAUGGUUACCAAGUGGACAACUGUGGACAUAAACAUCUUUCAUGUGAUCAAUCGGAAAAAUAAAUGGCCACCAAAAUAUCAAUUCCAUGGUCCAUACUCUAGAUUCUUAUAUUAAGAUCAAGAUCAAGAGCACUUUUCCUAGGACCCGUCAGUAAAAGAAAUGGCCAGCAAAAUAUCAAUUUUCAUGGUCACUCCAGGUCCUUGUGUUUGAACCUAAAUGCGACUAGCAGACUAACAUGUACUGGUUCACCUGGAUAGAAAUAUAUCUAUAAUCUAAUCUACCAAACAUCAAACUAAAUAAAGAUCAGGUUACAUACAUCGAGCACUUGUACAACAGAACGAGUGAACUGCCAGACUUGGGACUGAAAACAAUCAUAAGCCGAAAAGAUCAUUGGUGCCAAAGAUGGAUCCACCAAACUGCCUGGUGUUCAAGUCUCCGCCAUCAAGGGCCGAUGGGAACCUGUCGAGCCACUGGGUAAGGUUUGGGCUGUCUGAUGAAUCCUCCACCCACGGCGAGGUCAUGUCGAUCUCAUCAAGCGCAAUCGGAUCCCCGUCACCUUUCUUCUUUGUUGUCAUUUUGGGGUCAGAGUGGAGCAUGCGAUUGUAGUGCACGUAGGCUUGGUCGGCCAAUGCCUCUUUGUCCAACUUGUUGCGCUUUUCAGAGUAGCUCUGGAGGAUGAUACUCCAGUCCCUUUGGAAGGUCAGGGUGCUGCAGACCUGACUCACUAUUCUUACAGCAGCAUGUUGCAAUGCUGGCGCUGAAUCGCCGUACUGUUCCCACCACAUCCCUGAAGAGCACAAAUUUCGUUAGAAAUACAUCCAGACAAAGAGAAAUACACGAGAGCCAUCAAGCAUAGAAGACAAUAAGCUGCAUUGCAACAUGUUCACCUAAGACCAGUAAAUUGGAACUAUCAUUAUCGGCUGCAGGAAAUAGGUGCCAAUGCCCUAAUAUCGAUGCAGCUACUACUUAGGAGACUAAAAAUGGAGAGCCACUCAGCCAUUUUGAAGUGUGAUAUUUAGCAUAAGGGAGAAACCCUGGAAAAUAAACUUUUUAUGACAAGUGCUCCAGGAUAAAAUACAGUUGGCUUACCUACUCGAGAAAACGCCCAGUUUAUCUGGUGUUGCCACUGAGAUAAUUGGUGUUGAAGAUAUUGUCCUGUUUUUUGAAGAGAUUUCUCAAAGGGUGGUGUAAUUGUAGAUUUACUGAAAUGCUAAUGUUUUGCUUGGUUUUCCCUUUUGUGACUACUACAGCUUGUGCGAUCUGGCAAAUUAGAGAAGAAAUGGAUACUGGAAAUCAUUGUCCCGUCAACCUAUUUAUACUUAUUCAAAAUCCUAUCUUACAUGCAGAAAUGUAAUCUUCUGUUAUAAUAGGGAGAGCAAAUCAAGAUGGAUCAUAAUAUAUAGAUCAUGUAGGUUUUGCUGGUUUCAUGGUUCAGUUCAAGAAUGAAUAUGCUGAAGAUGUGGUUUUUGAAGAGUUUGUGUUUUGGGUGUGAGGUGUGCUCAUAGGUCAAAGGAUGGUAGUGCGAUGCACUCAAAAUUGAUGUGUACCAUGUGGAUCUUGCUGGAUGCAGCCGACAACCCCUCGUUUAUGUAACGAUUGUAAGAACAUUAAAAGUUUCAAUAAAAGUUGGGUACAAAUUUUGUCUAAACAUGAAAUAAAAAUAAGGAUCAUUCCCAAAAACAGCAUCAGAUAUUUAACUGUACGCUUAAUGUGCUUGUAUAUAUAUACCACACAAUAGUAAAUAUACAGCCACCAACUCCGCUUGCAAUUUUUUGUUGGAAUAUGGACACAUCAAAAGUAUCAACCUGCUAUCCUUGUGGUUAAUUCUGGUACCAUGCUUAUGUUGCAAGUAAGCAAAGUAACCUGUUCAUGCAUUCAAGAAUAUUAGAAUGGUGCAGUUCAGGUAAGUACUACCUGGGGAGGUGUUGUUGCGGGCCUCUUUAGCAAUGUUGGAGGCAAACAUCCCUUGUGCCUUGCGGAAAGCAUGCAGUUCAGAAGUGAUACCUUGCCUUUGGUCUGGGGCUGUAAGCACUUUAUCCAGAACAUGGUAGAACUCCUCCUUGAUACUAGAGAAAAAUUUGACUUCUGGACUAUACUGGAUGCUUGGGUUCAGAAAAGCAGCUGCUGAAUGAAGAGGCGAGUGCAACUCUACCUGCCAUUUUUGCUCCACAAUGUCCAGAAAUGACUUGCAUUUGCUCUCAUCCAUUAUGUAGUAUGUUCUAAUAGAGUCCAUCACCUUUGUCAUAGACUCAUAUAUAUAACCAAUGGCAGCCUUGCCUCCUGAGACAUCCCUCAUGACCCUCAAUAGUGGUUCAGAAACAGCCGCUAUCUCUUCGACUGCUCGCCAAAACUCCUCGUCAUUGAGGACCUCAACGCAGGAUAUACUAAGAGAUCUAUUUGCAUAUGGUGAAGAUACAUAGUCAGAGCUGUGAAACAUUUGCUUCAGCUUUGACCUGUGCCUCAACAAUGACUGCAGAGUGAGAAAAUCUGAUACAGACUUUGUAAUCCCUGAGCAAACAAGCUCCUGCCCUACCAUACACUUUCUCAUAAGAUCAAGAACCCAAUUGUUAUUGUAGAUAAAUCGUGUGAUGGAUUGCGCUUGACAGAUGCACUGGUUCACCCAAUCAAUCUUGGAAAACUCAUCCAACAUUGAGUUCACACAAAAAGAAGCACAGGGCGACCAAAAAAUGGUGUUGUAGUUCUGCACGAUCAGCUUAUCUAUAUUGCCAUAGUUUAUAUUCUUAUCACUGAUUAUUUGAACCACAUUGUCUGGACCAACUUCCUGAAUCACUUCAUCAAAAAGGUCGUACAGCCCUCUGUGGCUUUUCAUGUGUGGAGAAGCAUCUACUGUUUUGAGGAAGAAUGUCCCAAGUGGAGACGACACAGAAAAGUUGAUUAGAGCUUUUAAUUUGUUAUCAGUCCACGAAUCGGCUAAUAUAGUACAACCUGUAGUCACCCAAUCCUUUUUUAUCUCCUGAGUUCGCUGCAGAACCUCUGAUUUGAGCUUCUGCAGCCACUUUGUUCUCAAAACAUCGGCUGAUGGCCCUCGGAACCCCUGUCCAACAAGUGUGUCCAUCAUAUGCCUGUACGAAACGGAGUCUGCGAUACUAUAGUCCAACUUAUUCUCGAAAAAGAACUCAGCUAUGCACCGUUCUGCUUCCAAACCUGAAGCUGGACGCGGUUUGUUUACAACACCAGAUGUUCUCAGUACUGGAGGAGACACUUCCAGGCCAAGCAGCUGAGUCGUCUCGACGGCAGGAAUAAUAGGAGGUGAAGUAGGCAGCCCUGGAGAUGAAGGCUGAGAUGGAAGUUCCCGCGUUCUUUUCGGAAGUACCGACAAUUCAGCUACACGUUUCCUCUUGAGAAGCUCAAGCUCCCUAUGCGAUUCCUUGGCUUCUAUGAGAGCAAUCACCUUUUCCCUGACAUCAUCCUUCACCCUGACACAAGGGUUGACACCUUUGCUUGGAAUUUGAGACAGAUGAAACUUGAACCUGCUUAUACCACCAUUUAUAAUCUUGAGGCAGAAUUUGCACCUGACCCUGUUCCCGUCCAGCUUGUCGCCGUACUCCCAGCAGGCAUCCUUCUCCCGCACUGAAGCAGUAGAUAGCAAAUGAUCACAAAAGAUAAAUGCAGCAUACCGUUGUUUGUUAUAUGAAUGAUUCGGAUUUACAGAUGAUACAAUUGAGAGAGGAACAAUACUUUAUGGUGAAGCUGGAGCCGACUUCAAGUCGAUAUCUGCAAAAGAAUUAAAGGCAUGAACACAAAGACCUCCUUCUUAUGAUGUUAUGAAAAAAUUUGGGUAACUAGGAACUGAAUGUAUCGCAAGUAGAAGCUCAAAACCUAAAUCAGUUUGAAACAAGUCAGUUCAACUGUGGGGAAGCAGCAUAUCGUAGUGUGUGUAGCUGUGUAUACAAUACAACACAACUGUUUUCAGAUAUUACAUCUUCAAAUUAUUAAUCUCGUUCCGCGAGAAUGCUCUGAAAACUUUCGUGUAACAACAGGGAAUUUACUAGUGUUUACAACAGUGGAGCAUUUCGCAACCUACAAUCUACCACUACUGCUUAAAUGCAGUCAAACGGUCUUUUAUGCUGUCUGCAGCCCUGAUCGGGGAAUUCAACAGCCAGAGUAUCAGCAGCAGAAAAGGAAACAAAAUUGAUUUAUUUUUCGAUGUUUCCCCUUUUGUUUGCUCGUAUCAACCCAACUCCCGCAACUGUUCGAGCCCGCCAAGCACAAUAGCUUCAACGAGGAAUUUCAUAGAUGGAUACCAAAAAUUUAGGCCAGAUCGGCGAAAUAAUCGCCCCGAUUCGCGAGGAAUAAUCGCGUGCGGAGUAAAUCGAGAUCCGAGAAGGAUCCGAGUUCGUCUAGCUUGUGUAGAUCGCGGGCGGGCGGAAGGAGACGGGGGGAGCUGUGCUGACCUGAGCUUCGGAGCAGCGAUUUUGGUAGGGUGUUUUCUCUUCUCGUGUCUCCCCGAUUUAUCGUCUCCUGGUCGGUAGGUGGCCGCCGCUGCGUGGCGAGCGGAGCUGUGCCUUUGCCGUGGAGGAGAAGAGCGUGCGAGAUGUAUAAAGCUUGGGGAAAGGGAGAAGGGAAUGGAUGGACUGCGGGGGAGUACCGCGACGCGAGAUACCACGAUAUGGGUCGGAAAAAAAAGAUAGAUAACCACGAGAUGGACGACCGUCUCGUCCCGGUCUGCAAGGAAGAGACAGGGAAAGUGGGCGCGACCCAGCGGAAAACAGCGAAUGGCAAGUCCGACCAACCGUCGCACGGCAGAGCGCCCGGCGGCCGGCGGGCAACCCCAAGCCGGCUGAGGGCAUCGUCGACGCCAUCUCGGCGGACGUCGAACGCACUUCUUCUCGUUGUGAGGCGCGCUAAUUUUUUAUAAAUAAUACGAUCCAGGCCAACUGGAGGCAGGCUGCGCAGAGUGGGGGUCCCGCAAGAGGCAAUUGGCUUCGUCCAGGUCGACUGAAACCCAGUUGGCUUCGCCCAGGUCGACUGGAUGCAGUUGGUUUCACCGAAACCGAUUGAGGCUAAUCAGUUUCACCAAAACUAGUUGGUUGCAUGAUCAAUACAUACACGGUCGAGGUCCAAUUUUUUGUCUCGAAUCCUUGCGGUUUUCUUGAUAACUUGAUAAAGUAACAUACAUAGAUAAUGUGUUGGACAAUUUUUGUGUCGAUUCCUUGCGGGUUUUUUGAACUGAAAGACUUGACAAUUUGGAUAAAUUAACAUGCAUCGAUAAUGUGCUGGUUACGGAACCAAGGCACGACUAAAUUAACAUACAUCGAUAAUAUCGUAAUUGGACAGAAUUAAAGAUAGCAAAUACAAUUGAAACACAGUACAAGCACUACUGAGUCCACUUAGGCCAUUUUCCGCUCGUGUCGCCACGUUCUUCUGCAGCCUUUGCCACGGCGGCCCUUUUUCUUUGCCUCUCCCUUUCUGCCUCACGAGCAUCCUUGCGCCUUCGUUCCUCCUCUUGCAUCUCAAGCGUUUUCUCCCUGUUUUUCCUUAGUGCUUCAUCAAAGUAACGACGUUGUUUCGCCCUAUGCUCUUUCAGCUCUCUCUCUUGCUCCUCUUUCUCCUGGGCUGCAGCUUUUUCCGCACGCUCCUCCGCGUGAAAACGCUGCCAUGCACUUCGGGACCUUGUUUUAAUCUCUUCCACCGCCCAAUCCGGCAUCUCCGUGUCAAUCCAACGAUACCACAUGCAUAGGGGCGGAGGAGACUACAAAAUAGCCUAAUGUUACAAAUAAAUCGAAUAUGACACGCACAACAUGUUUAAGCACGCCUAUAUGUGCUUACCGGAGGCUUGUCGUACGGCGAAACCGGGACAGGUGGAUCAUGCUCAUAGUUCGCACACAUGAAAAACUUCAUGCCCAGCUUAUCCGAAAAAUCUUUCACCUCCUUCACCUUGCAUAGAUUGCCGCACAAACACCUGAGAUGUUCCACCCCCGGAGGCAACAUCGCUUCUUUCAUCUUCCUCGGCCUCUCGCCCUGGUCAGAGCAAGACAAACUCAUUGGGAGACACUGGAAUAUUGGAAAAAACAGUAGUGGGAAGGAUGCUUGGAUGACUACCAAAGAUGAGGUAUUUAUAGGCUCUCAAACUCAUUCUCCCGCCACCGUUUCUUGCCUGGUUUUCCCGCCACCGUUUCUUGCCUGGUUUUCCUGCCACCGUUUCCCGCUUUGUUUUCCCGCCACCGUUUCCCGCCUAUUUGUAUCUUCUAUAACUAUAAAAGAUCGGCCAUGGUAUUGAAGUGUAGUCUCACCAUUUCAUCUGGUCCCAGAGGCUAUUGUGGUUAGCCGGUGAUUUCAAGGUAGACAAUAGGAUAGUUCCAUGGGACGAACUCAUUAGUAGUGACACCCUACUAACUGAGCUGGGCCACCAAUUAAGAAGGUGCAAUUUCCCAUUGAGGACUUCUGCAGAGAUACGGCAGGAACUGCUAAGUUUGCACGAAAGGUGGAAGAAGCACAGUCAAGGUAAGAGUGAGUCAUACCUACAAUGGGCUAGAAAACAUCCAUUGUUAUGGGUUGAAGAAGAGGAAUCCGAUGAAGAUAUCUUCAUGCCAAGCAAAACGGGUAAGAGUUCUUCAUCGUCCAAGGGGAAGAGUACUGCACCGUCGAAGGGAAAGAGUACAUCAUCGUCCAUGGGCAAGAGUAUUUCAUCUUCGUAGGGCUAGAGUUAGGUUAUCUUAUUUUAAGUUUUCGGUUUUAAUUUCAGUCUUUCUAUUGCAUAUGUAUUUCAGUCCUACCGUUUUUAAUUUGCAAAUGUAACUUGAAUAAGAAUGCGAGAAACAGUAACAUGUCUCUCUCAUACAUAGGUAGAAAUAUGUCUCAUACAUAGGUAUAAAUAUCUCUCAUACAUAGGUAUAAAUAUGUCUCAUACAUAGGUAGAAAUAAGUCUCAUACAUAGGUCCUACAAGCAAAUAUCAGGCACGGCGUCUGGGACGGCGUUCCGGGGGUGCCUGUGGCGUGGUCCAACCAUACCUAUGAGGUGGCACAACGUUGCACGGAGGAAUCACGGACCCAUCCUCGCGAUACUGUGUAUCCUCCUCUGUGGGGUCUGGUGGCGGAGUAUUGAACAUCCAACUGUGUUGGACAGAAUAGUCCUCUCCUUGAGCGUGAUCCUGCUCACUACCCCAUGAGGGUUCGGACAACGAUGACUAAUGCCCGUAGGCUCCUGCAUGUGGGAAAGUACUUAGCAUUAAAAUUGUGUAGCAGUCAUGGUAAUGAACACCAUAGAUAGAAAUAUACAUACCUUGUGGCUGGGUCUUUGGACGAAACUCAAAGUUCAUCGUGGGACUCUGCUAGUGCUGCCACGCCGAACCUCCAGCUUGAAAAGAAGGGGGCUGCUGCUCCCACGCCAAACCUCCAGCCUGAAAAAAGGGCUACUGCUGGUGCCAGUAGUCGAAAGAAGACUGCAGCUGGUGCCACGACGAACCUCCGGCCUGCUCAGGAGGUGGUGGCCUGGGCGUCGACUGCUCUGGUAGACGUGGACGCGGGUGGUGUCGGGGGUGCGGUGCUUCCUGCUGACGUGGCCGCUGCUGGUGCGUGGAGGGACGCGGGGGCCGUACGGAUGCCUGGUGGUGAAUGACGUCCGAAGUGCGGGUGCACGUGAUAGCCGCGUAAACAGAGCGUAGCUUCUCCUCCAUUCGUCUAAGCCAGGACUGGUGUGGCUCCCGUGGUAGUAGAAGUGGACCGGUCGAAAGCGAACGUCCAUACGCAGCGAACUCGGCCUGUAAAUCCUGUGUCAACUGUGCCUGCAAUUGGCACGAAGAGUAUUACAUAUAUAUGGCAAAGUACGUAACAAACACAUGCAUUAUGUUAAUAGAAAAUAUUUACCGCGUGCUGUCUAGAGCCUGAAGUAGACUGGCUAGGUGUCGUAGCACGGGGCUCAGACACCAGGGAUGCGUGGGCACCCCCUUUGAGGUUCGGCAGUGGGCGACGGGGAUCGCCCCGGCGGUCGCCGGCGAGGCCAAUGCAAAGCGUAAGAGCACAAUGAACACGAGAUCGUUUAUCCAGGUUCGGGCCACCCUGAGGUGUAAAACCCUACGUCCUGCUUCUGAGUUCGCUAUUAGCCAAUGAGUUAGGAUUUACAGGUUGCCGGGGGAGUCCCCGGGUGCUCUCCCUUUUCGGCUAAGUGCCUUUUGCUACUUCUGGCUACUACCAGUGGUGAACUGAGGAUUCAUCCAACCCUUUGACCGUUGACGGGGGUCCUCCUUUUAUACCGAUGGGAUGCCAGAGGUGCCAUGGUGCAUGGGUGACAAAUGGCGAGCAGAGAGCUAGGGCAGCUCCUCCUCGGUGCGCUGGCUUGCAUGCAGAUUAGGUAGCCCUGCAGCUAGGGGUCUAGGCGCCUGAAAUUUAGCCCAGGCGGGUCACUGUAGGCUGAAAGGACGGGGAAUCCCCUUUUGGUCGGAGCAUUUAAUGCUGGCGUGUGCUUCACUCCUCGUCUUGACGAAUCCUGCACGCAGCGCGCCCGCCGAGCGGCCACGUGGUGUCGCUGUUGCUCCCGCUCGCUCCUGCUCUUGUAACGGACACUUGCGCCCGGGAACACCCUCCCCGGCAAGUAAACUUCCCAGGAAGCGCCCCGGCGGGAUUUCUCCUGCUGCCCCGCCAGGCAACCCUCGCCGCCCGUCAAGCCCUGCCGGGUUGGUGACUUGCCGGGCAGCUCAUGCGGAGCUGCCUGGGGUGCGGUCCCUCCGAGGGGGCAAGCGAGGUGGCCCACGCGUCAUGCAGCGGUGGUGCCCUGGGUGCCACUGGUGCGACAGUAGCUCCCGGGCGUGGGCCGGCAACGCCUGUUCCCGGAUAGAACCUUCCCUGCUCGGUUGCCGGGCUACGCCCUUAACCGACGCCUGGGUCCCGAGCCGCUUCGGGGCCCUGCUUAUGCGCCGCUUGAAGGGUUCUGCCAUUACGUGCAGAGUAGUGGGCGCGAGAUUUCCGCCUUAACCUCCCCAUUAAACACGGGUGGUUAAGGCCACGCCCUGCGUUAUCCCCUCUUAGGGGGUAAUUAUCCCAGCGCAUCCGAAGGGUGCGGAUGCGACCGUUGCUCGGCGCCGAGGCGCUAUAAGACCCCGCCGCUGCGCUAGGGAGCAAACACUUAGCCCCCCAGCUUUUCCCCUUCGUCUCCAAUCUUCCUCGCGCCCCUGCCUCCGGCCAGCUUUCGCCCACACCUCUCAUGGCGCCCCCCGCUCCCAAGAAAGGGAAAGGCUCCAAGAGGCCUGCAACCGGCAGGAGCGAGGAGGCUUCCCAGAAGCCCGUCUCGAAUAAGGACCAAAAGAGGAGGGAGCUGAGGGCCUCGUGCGCCUUCUUCCGGCCCGGCUACAACAGCGAGGCGCUGGACAAGGUCCGGCACGCCGGUGCCUCGCACUUCAACGAGUACGGGGAGACCCUCAUUUUCCCCGCCGGCGCCGACCACCAAGAAAACGACUUCCGGGUGUUCGCGCGCUUCAUCCUUGCCGGGUUGGUGCCUCCGUACUCCCUGUUCCUCCAUGCGCUCAUGGAGGCGUACCAGCUCCGGGUGGCGCAGCUCCCCCCCACCUCCCUCUUUCUGCUUGCCGUCUUCCAAUUCCUUUGCGAGGUGUUCGUCAGAUUAAUGCCGUCAGUGGUGUUAUUCCGGCACUACUUUGUUGGAAAUAUGCCCUAGAGGCAAUAAUAAAUUUGUUAUUAUCAUAUUUCAUUGUUCUUGAUAAAUGUUUAUUGCCCAUGCUAUAAUUGUAUUGAUUGGAAACUCAAAUACAUGUGUGGAUAAAUAAACAAAUACCGUGUCCCUAAUACGCCUCUACUAGAUUAGCUCGUUGAUUAAAGAUGGUUAAGGUUUCCUAACCAUAGACAUGUGUUGUCAUUUAAUAACGAGAUCAUAUCAUUAGGAGAAUGAUGUGAUGGACAGACCCAAACCUAAACAUAGCUUUUGAUCGUGUCACUUAAGUUUAAGUUGCUUAUGUUUUAUUAUGUCAAGUAUUAUUUCUUUAGACCAUGAGAUCAUGCCACUCCCUAGUACCGGAAGAAUACUUUGUGGGCAUCAACCGUCAUCUCGUAACUGGGUGAUCAUAAAGGUGUUUUUCAGGUAUCCCAGAAGGUGCUUGUUGGGUUGUAUGGAUCAUGACUGGGAUUUGUCACUCCUUGUGACGGAGAGAUAUCUCUGGGCCCUCUCGGUAACAUAACAUCCUAAUGAGCUUGCAAGCAUGCGACUAAUGUGUUUAGUUGCGGGGGUAUUAUAUUACGGAACGAGUAAAGAGAACUUGCCGGUAACGAGAUUAAACUAGGUAUGGCGAUACCGACGAUCAAAUCUCGGGCAAGUAAUAUAUCGCGAGACAAAGAGAAUUGGAUACUGGAUUAAUUGAAUCCUCGACAUAGUGGUUCAACCGAUGAGAUCUUCGUGGAAUAUGUGGGAACUAUUAUGGACAUCCAGGUCCCGCUAUUGGUUAUUGAUAUUUGAUCAUGUCCACAUGUUCUCGAACCCGUAGGGUCACACACUUAACGUUUCAUGUUGCUUGGGUUAGAUGAGAUAAAUGAUGAUGAUAUCGAAUUAUGAUUCGGAGUCUUGGAUGGGAUCCUAGACGCAACGAGGAGCUCCGGAAUGUUCCGGAGAUAAAGAUUUAUAUAUGGAAAGUUGUUUUCAGGGUUCUGGAAAGUUUGGAAUAUUUCCCGGUUUUGACCGGGAAGCUUCUAGAAGGUUCCGGAGGGAUCCGGAGGGUUCCACCUUGAGGCCCACCUAUCCCUGGGCUAAAUGGGCCUGUGAGGGAGCACCCUGGCCUUAAUGGGCCGAGGGGCUAGCCCACAGGGCCCAUGCGGCCAGGAGGAGAGUCCUGGCCGCGGGAGAGUCCUGGCCGCAUGAGAGUCCUGGCUACCGGAGAGUCCUGGCCACGGGAUAGUCCUGGCCGGCCACGCCUCCUCUACCCCUAUAUAAAUAGAAGGGGGGGCAAGGGAGAGAGACACCCCAAGCUUUCAGUUGGAUCUCUCUCCCCUGAGCCCUCCUCUCCUCCUCUUUUCACGCGCACGGCGUAGCCCUGCCCGUGAGAAUAUUCACCAUAGUCACCACGCCGUCGUGCUGCCGGGAUCUCGUCUACCUCUCCCUCUCGCUUGCUGGAUCGAGGAAGGAGGAGACAACGUGAAGCUGAACGUGUGGAUACCAAGGAGGUGCUGUCCGUUCGGCACUGAGAUUGAUCUCAUUGAAAGUUCCACUACACCAACAACGAUCUCAUGAUCGUAACGCUUAGCGGUCUACGAGGGUAUGGUGUUCAUGAUCCCUCUCGUUACAUACAUCUAGUAUAUAUAUUCUUGGGUUUUCUUCCGCACUUCUCCUAGGAAAAUUUUUGUUUCCUAUGCAACGAACCUAACAUACUUCUACCCCCGCAUCGGGCAAGCGGGGGCGAUGUCAUCGGAGUGGUGUUCCACGCCCGCGACCGGAUGAAAUCAGAAUUCAUCGUCCGGUCGGAGAAGAAGAUAGAGAAGGAGUGGCGGGCGGACUGGUGCUGGGUCCAUGUGGAGGAACCCGAAGAGUUCAUCUUCACGCCCAUCGAGCUGCCGGUGCCCAACGACACCUGGCGGAACCGCUACCACCGCGACGCAGAGCUCCUCCCCAUCGUCGCGAAGAUCAAGGCUCUACGGCUAGCAGGGCUCACCGAUCUCGACGUGGCGCGUGCCUACAUCAGCCGGUGCAUUGCGCCGCUACAGCUUCGCUCCCGCCCCGCGUGGAUGUACACGGGGUCCGGGGACAAGACACGCCUCCAGCACGGGGGCGUAGACCCGGAGGCCAUCCAGGCGUGGGUGAAGGGGAUCACCGGCGAGGACGUCCCCGUCACGGAGCUGCCGCCAGGGGUUUUCUCCCUCCACGCCGGGGUUCCGAGGCCGCACGAUAUCAUCGCCGCCUACCCGCCCUGCAACAAGUGGGGGCUAAUGGUCGACUCCCCUGCUCGGACCCCACGUCCCCCUCCGCCUGCACCCCGUGGGAAGCGGGUGCUCGAGGAGAGCGGGGGAGAGUCGGAGGUCAACUGGCCCAACGUCCCAUCCUCCGACGAAAAGGCGGGCCAGGUUGCCGGGACCCAGGUGGUCAUCCCCGUGGCGGAUGAGGAGGAGGAGGAAGAUGAUGAUGCGCCCCUGAUCUUACGAAGGUCAAGGCCGCCGCGGAGGCCGCCGGAGCCGCGUCAACUUCCACGGCGACCGAGAGCGCAGCAACUCCUUGGGCGCCGGCAAGAGGGGGAGAGUUCAAGCUCAACCCUCUGAAAGACGGCUCCCCGUCGGGAGCCGGCAAGAGGGGGAGAGCCGACUCGCCACCCGCCGCGCCGAGCAAGAGGACGCGCAUCCGGGCCGGCACCAGCACUGACCCGCCCGGCACGAGGGCCGGCGGUGCCGCCAUUGCACCCACCGCCGACCUAAUUCUGGUAGAGGAGGAGCCGGCAACAGGUACCGAUCCCCUCCUUGAUCCCAUGGCAUGCGUUAAUCCCGUCCGCUUACCUACAACUGCGCCGCCUUCUAAACUCGCAGGCGAAAUCCAGCCCGCGGCAGGCGGCCCGGCGACAGGGGCCGGAAUGGGAGGGGAGGAAGCUCUUCCCGCAAGUUCGGUGGCCCUAGCCGCGGGGUUGGCGCUCGUGCAUGCAUGCCGGCGCACCGAGGAGGAGCUGCCCAAGCUCCUUGCUCAUCACUUGUAAACCAUGCACCGUGGCACCUGUGGUAUCCCCUUGGCUAUAAAAGGAGGACCCCCGCCAACGGUCAAAGGGUUCGGGUCGUUGGUUUUUUGGUUCGCUUCGCUCGUUGGUUCGUUUGCUGAGCCAACUCAUAGUACAACACUGGUAGUAGCCCGAAGUAGGAAAGAACACUUAGCCAAAAGAGGCCAUCUGGGGGCUUCCCCCGGCAACCUGUAAACAGAAGAUUUCAUAGUAAUACAAGCUCAGACAAGCUGGACGUAGGGUUUUACACCGCAAGGUGGCCCGAACCUGGGUAAAAAGCGUGUGCAUGUGUUCUUGGUGCGUUCUUACGCUUUGCAUUGGUCCCGCCGGCGAUCGCUGGAGCAAUUCUCGUAGCCCGCUGCCGAACCUAAAAAGGGGGUGCCCGCGCAUCCCCGAUGUCGGAGCCCCAUGCGAUGACAUCUGGCGCGCCAGGUAGGGGGCGCGUGAGGAGAGCUCGUCGGUGACCACCGGUGGCGACGUCUACACCAACAUCGGCCUCGUCCUCCUCGACGAAAGAGCCAACCACCAUGCCUCCCAAGCGAGCUGGUGACCCUCAGAUUGACCUGCGUGAAGCCCCAGCAGCACACACGCGGUCACAUGACACGCAGCCCUCGGCUAGGCUCGCGGCAGCCUUAGCUGCAAGCUCGGGCGCCAAGCGCCCUUCCUCGGCCAUGGCACACUUGUGCGCCAGGGCGUAGAGAUCCUGCGUCAUCCGGAUCCGAUGCGUGCUCAGCUUGUCCCGCAUCUUGGGGCCACGGACGUUGAUGGCGAAGGUGUUGACGAUGGCGGCAGCCUCCGCCUCCGGGAUGGAGUAGGAGAGGCUGGAGAAACGGUUGACAAAGGUCCGCAGCGUCUCUCCCGGCUUCUACACCACAGUGUGCAGCUCCGCCAUGGUUCCCGGGCGCUUGUAACCGUCCUGGAACGCACUCACGAACUGCUGGCGCAGGUCCGCCCAAGUGGCUAUGGACCCGGCAGGCAGGUUGAGCAGCCAAGUUCUCGCCGAUCCCUUGAGGACCAUCGGGAACCAGUUGGUCCUGACCUUGUCAUCGGCGCCGAUGGCGUGCAUCUCAACGUGUAGGUCAGGAGGAAAUCCUUCGGCUUCAUGGUCCCGUCGUACGUCCCAAGCGCCGGCACUCAGAACUUGCGGGGCCAUGUCACCCGUCGCAGCUCGCGGGUGAACGCGGUGCAGCCAUCCUUGGCACCCAUGGGAGCAUCCUCCUGCUCCUCCAGGCGCGGGCGCUCUACGUCGCACCGGUGUCGGCGCUCCAGGCGCUAGCGGAGAUCCUCCUGUUGGCGGGCGUUCAGGACGCCGCGCGCGUCACCCCGGGUGACGGUUGGUGACAAAUCCGAGGAUCCCUCGGGAUCCCAGCCUCCUUGCCCUCCCUGCGGGGGAGGGUUUACUCCCUGCCCCGAGGCGCGGGGCGCGUCUCCGCGUCCCGGGUUCUGCCCGCGGUCUGAGCCUGCCGGGGCGCCCUCGCCUUGCGGUUGCUGGGCGGCGAGUGCGAGGAGCUCAUACAGCUCCGCGCUCCAUGCUUCGUGUGCCGGCGUGCCCUGCUGCGGCUCGUACCGCACCAUGACUCGCGCGGCAAUGAUGGCUUCUACCGGGGUUUGGGAUGGGGGCAGUCGAUUCUCCGACCGGCUGCCCUCCGCCCUAUAUCCCCCGGCGCAACCCGGCGAGUGGGGUGCUACCCCGUCGGUGUCGCUCGUGACGCGGUGUGCUCAUGGCGCAGUUGCCGUUGCGCAUCUUCAGCCCGCGAUUCAACUCGCUGGUUGGAGCGGGCGGCACCGUGGCCGCUCGCGCGACUGGCUCCGACGCUGGGAGCCACUGGCCCCCUCGGCCGGUUGUCCGCCGACGGCCGAGGAGGCGGGGGCGGCAGCUGCGACUGCUGCGCCCGAGAGGGCUUAGGGUUCUACUGAGCCCGUGACGCGGGCUGCACGUCAUGCGAUCGUGUGUGUGCCGCUGGGGCUUCACGCGGGUCGAUCCGGGAGUCACCAGCACGCUUAGGAGGCAUGGCGACUGGCUCCGCUGUUGGAGUAGACGAGACCGAUGCUGCCGUAGACGAUGGCACCGGCGGCCACCACAGAGCUCUCCUCGCGCGCCCCCUACCUGGCGCGCCAGAUGUCGUAGCACGGGGCUCAGACACCAGGGAUGCGUGGGCACCGCCUUUGAGGUUCGGCAGUGGGUGACGGGGAUCGCCCCGGUGGUCGCCGGCGAGGCCAAUGCAAAGCGUAAGAGUACAAUGAACACGAGAUCGUUUACCCAGGUUCGGGCCACCAUGAGGUGUAAAACCCUACGUCCUGCUUCUGAGUUCGCUGUUAGCCAAUGAGUUAGGAUUUAUAGGUUGCCGAGGGGAGUCCCCGGGUGCUCUCCCUUUUCGGCUAAGUGCCUUUUGCUACUUUUGGCUACUACCAGUGGUGAACUGAGGAUUCAUCCAACCCUUUGACCGUUGUCGGGGUCCUCCUUUUAUGCCGAAGGGGAUGCCACAGGUGCCACGGUGCAUGGGUGACAAAUGGCGAGCAGAGAGCUAGGGCAGCUCCUCCUCGGUGCGCUGGCUUGCAUGCAGAUUAGGUAGCCCUGCAGACAAUUAGGGGUCUAGGCGCCUGAAAUUUAGUCCAAGCGGGUCACUGUAGGCUGAAAGGACGGGGAAUCCCCUUUUGGUCGGAGCAUUUAAUGCUGGCGUGUGCUUCAUUCCUCGUCCUGACGAAUCCUGCGCGCUCCACGUGGUGUCGCUGUUGCUCCCGCUCGCUCCUGCUCUUGUAAUGGAUGACAAUCAUAAAUUGUAGAACUGCACAUACCCGUGGACGAUCGGUGGAAGUGGAUCCUCCGUCGGUGGAGGAACGACCAACUGGCGUGCCCCAAACUGCCUCAUGACCCUCUGCUGGGUCAUCCCCUCCACACAGACGUCGAAGAUGAUCUUUGAUUUUGUCAUCCAGUAAGCGUAAUCUCUCGUGCAGACCGUGGACAUCCCGCCAGGGUAUCUAACAUCGAUGGCGUCCUGUGUGUACGGCUCCUAGACAACCGCCUCAGAGUGCAACACGUCGAACUGCUCGUUGACUAUAUCAAUUCCUGACCUGAUCGUGUGCAAAGCGUCUCUGUAAAAAAAAGAAGUUAGCUUCAUUCAUGGUUUAUGUAAACUAAUGUAUAAAUUUUACAUUCAACAUACCUUAUUACGUGUCCAAAUUGUCGCGAAAGUAGGCAAGUCGAUGUGUUCUAAGUCAAACAACUCCUGCUCAGGGUUAGCGUGAUCACCCAUAACGUCUGGUCGGCCGAUAGAAAACCUCCUCCACGACCAAAGCUGCAACAAUAAAGGACAUCCAAGCAGGGCUGACUUGGGCGACGCAAGCUAGCAAGCGUUGCACAUACCUCGGUACGUAGCCGCUAAGAUAGCCGAACCCUAACUUCUCUGUGUGAUAUCGUCACCACAAGUUGCAUCCGCGAUCUCCACUGCAAUAGGGAUGUAGCGUGCGCUAAUGGUGGUGACGUGGUUCUCGGUGAACAUCACCUUCCCGAGAAGCCACAUUAUAUAUGCCUCAAGGCUCCGAGUGAUCUGAGGCUCAGUCAUUUGGGUCUCUGGAUACCCAAACUUCUGAAUCUGCAUGCAACAAAAACAAGUGUUAGUAAACCCAUGCAAGUAUAUGAGGUAUGCUCUUAGAUAUAUUAACUUAAAACACAUCGAUCUAACCUGUUAAUUGAGCAACCAAUCUAGCUUAGGUCCGUGAGCCUCCGAGGUGAGUGGCCCAGCUCCGGCAAGAAUACCUUGAAAACGUAGGGCACAAAUUAACACAUAAAUAAAAUGGACAUGCAAGGGAUGAAUAAAUAAAAUGAACAUUUAAGGGAUGAAUAAGUAAAAUAUACAUGCAAGGGAUGAAUGAAUAAAUACCGCUGAAUCCAGGCAGGAUGUAUCAUCCAAUUUUCCUUAGGAGUGCGCGUGACAAGGAGCUCGACACUCCCAGAAUGCGCCACCAAUCGAGCAGCCCGAUGCUUACUCUCAAUCUCCGGAGAUAGCAAUGAUACUCUCUCCAUUUUGUACCUUCAACAUUUAUAAACAUAGUUAGACAUACAAUACAAAGUUAAGCAUAGUUAAACUGAGAGUACAUAUUAAAACAUAGUUGAACAAAGCGUACAAAUUAAUACAUAGUUUCACACAGAGUACAAAUUAAAACAUAGGGCACAAAUUAACACAUAGUUUCACAGAGUACAAAAUAAAACUUAGUUUCACAUAGAGUACAGAUUAAAACAUAGAGUACAAAUUAACACAUAGUUUCACAUAUAGUACAAAUUAAAACAUAGUUCCACAUAGAGUACAAAUUAUAGCAUAGUUCCACACAGAGUACAAAUUAACACAUAGUUUCACACAGAGUACAUAUUAAGGCCAUAGUCUAGUUUCUUCCUCUCCCUCGUCAUCCAUGUCUCCCUCUUCCACGGGCAGUAGCUCCGCCAGUACCGAAAGUUGGACAAUAAGUGUCCCUAUGGCCAAAAUGGUUGCAUAGAAAACAUUGCCGUGACGGUCCUCCGGCUUCAGAUUCAUCCAUAUCAUUUCGGAUGCGCCUGGACGGGCGUCUGCCUGUGCCUGUCCGCAGUAGCCCGAGGUCAGGGAUGCACCGCCUUUCACCAGGGGUUACGUUGUUGAAAUUGCCCAUUGCACGAAACCCUAGCAUCUCAUCCGUCCAUGUGCUAAGCACAAACUCUUUCAGGUAAUAGGGAGACACAAAUGAGAAUCCGUCCAUCCCUAGCUGCCCGCAAGCAGCAAGUACAUGUGAGCAAGGAAGGUGAAGCAACUUUGGUUUGUUGCAGGUGCACUCACACGUUGGCCACGCUUUAUUUCCAAUCUUCACCUCGUGUGUCCUCAAUUCAUUUCCAACGCCGAACUUGUCAGUUGGCAAGCGCACCUCAAAUCUGUGUUCUUGAUUACCUAUGGCGACGACAGUAUGAGACCUAGCCUUUUCCAUCUUUUCAUCCAUGUACUUCAUUAUCUUUUCACAGUACGGUGUAUUUGGGUUGUUCAUGAUAUGCAUUUCAGCUCUCUGGCGUCUAUCUCUGAAAUACUUCGCCGUGCCAUGGAAAAUACCCUCGACGAUGGCUGUAAGUGGUAAAGCCCUAUUUCCCCUUAGGACAAAGUUGUAUGUUUCUGUCAGGUUAGUAGUCAUGACGCCGUACCUAGCGCCAUGUGUGUCGUGCAGCAAAGACCACCGCUCCAGAGGCUCGUGCUCUAUCCACUGCUGAAAGUUUUUAAUCUGCCUCCCAACCCUUCUCCUAGUUCCGAGUGGGUCAAACCCUGGCAAGUCACAAAGCCCAACAAGUUCUUUCUCAGAUGGUCCUGUUCCAACUGCUGUCUGUGCAGCCACUGCUGCUACAUGUGCUGCUACCGCUGCGUUUCGUGCCGCUGUCCUCUCCCUAACAUGUUUCUUCGUGAACUCAUCAAGAUAACCACGUAUCCUAGUGUACUUCCAUUGUUGGUUCUGUUUGCAGAGUUUCUUGAAUAGAUUCAUAAGUGACUUGUUCCUAAACUGUGAGAAGAAGUUGGCCCCCAAAUGCCACAUGCACCAACGACUCUGCAUGUCCUGCCAUGGAGUUUGUUCAUCAGGCCCAAGGUUUGUCAGUGUCCUUAUCGCACUGAGUAUGCCUGCAUGUCUGUCAUGAAGGAUGCACACAUUCGGCUUAUCAUGCACAACUGCUCUCUUGAGCUACCUGAAAAACCAUAACCAACUUUCAGUGUUCUCACCCUCCACGAAAGCAAAUGCGAGCGGAACAAUUUGAUUGUUGCCGUCUUGACCAAUGGCGGUCAAGAUCCGCCCCCGUAUUUGCGAGUGAGAAAAGUGCCAUCUACGCAUAUCACCGGUCGACAAUGAGUGAAAGCUUGGACGCAUACACCGAAAGUGAAGAACAGUCAUUGCAGCACCCUCACAGUUGGAUACUCUGGGUGCAGGAAGUGUUGGAUGUCGACAUAGGUGCCUGGAUUACGGGCUUGCAGUGUAUGGAGGAGGCGGACAACAGAGUCGUACGAGUCGAAAAACGAACCAAAUCUUUCCUCAAGAGCCCUCUGCUUAGCCCUCCAAGCCUUGCCAUAAGAAAUGUUGUACUUAAACCUUACCCUGACCUUAUGCAUGAUGGCCUUCACUUCCAUUGCUUUGCUCUCCACUAUCUCCGUGUAAAGCAACCGAGCAAGAAGCAUCGACGAGAGGUUACGAUGGUCUUGAGGGAUACUGGGAAUGACACAUGUGUGCAACACCAAGUCACUCACAACCCAAUCUGUGUCAUACUUAGGAACAUAGCCAUGCACCCUCCCGAGACAAUCUAUUUGUUCGCACUCCAUUGUCAAAUAUUUUUGUGAAGAGACUGUUGUUUUGAAAACUUUUUGCGUGGACAUUGCCCAAGCAAUUAUCGCAUCCUGCAGAUGUUUCUUGUCAGGAAAUCUGGCACCCUUCGCAAUGUUGUUCUGAUGAUAUUGCCAUGCAGAGUCGUGCCCAUCGUUCACGGUCAUAACUAAAGAGAAGUCCUGAUUCCAUGAUGCAGGAAUCGACACCUCCUCUUCGUCCGACUCAUGAGACUCAUCGUCAUAAGAACUACGACCAUCUGUAUCUUCAUCCUCCAUCUGGUUCUGCAAGUGACCAUUUUCGUCGUCCGCAUCUGCCUCGCCAGUGUACUCAUCCUCUCCUACUGUCCCGGAGCUCUGGCCUGAUUCAUAACCACCACCUCCAGCAUUCGACACAGAGUUUGCAUUGGACAAGUCAUAACUUGAUUCACCCUCGCCUUCAGCUGGAUUGGUCUCAUGAGCGACAACCUGGAUUAAGGCGACAGGUGUAGUUCCCCUUUUCUCGCAACUUUCUAACCAGCGCACCCACUUUGAUGUCCGGUCUAUCGGCCUCAAAACCCAGAAAAUAUUUGAACUUGACUUGGUCCACAAUGCUUGCACACGGACGGGAUAUGUUUCAGGAUUGAGCGCUAAACAUCCUACCAACCAUUCCUGCAACCGACUAAACAUCCAUGUUUGAGGGGCCGUUAGAUCCAACUCCACAUAUUUAAACUGACUCAGAUCAGCUCCGUGCUCGGUUGUUAAGACAGUACCGGAACCGUACUAAAAAACAAACUUCACUACACCGGAUAUCUCUGAUGCCUAAAGAAAUGUUUAGACGCGUCAAAUACUAAGCAGUACGGCAUAUAAAAAAUAUUAGGACGCGUCAAAUACUAAGCAGUACAUCAUAUUAAAAAUAUUAAUACGCGUCAAAUACUAAACGGUACGGCAUAUUAGCGUCAAAUACUAAACAGUACGGUAUAAAUAAAAUCUAGCCUAUCAAAACAUAUUACUACCGGCCAUACUAUUUAGACGUGUCAAAUACUAAGCAGUACGGCAGAUUUAAAAUAUUAAUACGUGUCGAAUACUAAACAGUACGGCAUCAAAAAAAAUCUAGUCUAUCAAAACAUAUUACUACCGGCCAUAAUAUUUAGACGCAUCAAAUACUAAGCAGUACGACAUUAACCGUUGUCCAAAAUAAUGAGCACUACCAAACGCUAAAACAUACUUCUAUAUAUACAUACACACGUAUCCUCAUAAACAUAUACAUUAUAGGAUAAAUACGUGAGAGAUUAGGAUUUACCCUUGAAGCGUGCGAACCCCAACCUCGAGCAGCCUCACAGUCACCGGAUGAGCACCACCACCACCUCCAAACUCCUCCAAACCACCACCAUUGCUCCAACUUUGCACCACAAAAUUAGCUCUACAUGGCCUAUGAAAACAGUAGAUCGAGGUGUCUUUGGGUGCCAACUAGGUAGGGGGUGCGAUUUUGUGGGUUAAAUGGGAUCAAAAUGCACUAAUUUAGGCUAGAAAAUUAGGGCAUUUGAGGAGAAAAGGAAGAACAGAAGAACGAGGAGAGGAGGAAGAAGCAGGGGGCACGGGCGCUCGUCUGGCUGGGCUCGGUUGGGCACGGGAGGGAUGGGAAGGAUGGAAGGGAAAGGGAAAAAGGAAAGAUUCCGGGCCCGCGACCCACCAGGCCCCUUUUGGCCACGGUUAGGCCGACUGGGCUUCAGUCGGUCUGGGCCAAGCCGACUGUCUCGUGGGGGCCCCAUGCGCUGAGCAGCCGGCCUGCAGUCGGCCUAGGCCAGGCCGACUGGAUCCAAUCUGCUUCGACCAGGCCGAUUGGGCCCAUUCGGGCUGGGAGAGGCCGAGGCCGUAUUAUUUUUGAAAUUUUUGAAAAACACUUAUUAUUUUUAAAAAUGAUUAAAAAAAUCGUAUUAUUUUAAAAAAAUUAGCGUGAGGCGCUGCCUUCACGUUUUUCCACUUGACGUUCCUCUGCUUCGUGGCUUCGUCUACAGAUUACAAUUCUGAACCUCCCGUGGGUCGGCGCUCAGAGAUGUUCCGGAAGAGGGGCAAUGCAGCUGGUGGCAUAGCACCAACCCCGGGACGGGGAGCCCAUCCUGCGUCCUCGUGUGCUAUUGACGCUGCCUGGGCGGACGCGCAGAAGGUGUUCGACGAAAUACCGCAGCGGGAGAGCAUGUUCUGGGCUUGAGCCUAACUUGAGUACAUGGCGCUGCCUCAGGCCUCAGCCGGCGUCAAGGAAGCAACAGGUAACGCUGGUACUUUUGCUUUAUUUUCGCAUUGAAAGCUUGAAACAUACGUAGUUCAUUUGAUUUUUUUUUUAGUUCUGCCGUUCUGGGCAUGGGAGAACAUUCAAAGUUUCAAUAAAAGUUGGGUAUAAAUUUUGUCUAAACAUGAAAUGAAAUAUAAGGACCAUUCCCCAAAACAGCAUCAGAUAUUUAACUGUACGCUGAUUGUGCUGGUAUAUAUCACACAAUAGUAAAUAUACAGCCACCAACUCCGCUUGCAAUUUUUUUGUUGGAAUAUGGACACAUCAAAAGUAUCGACCUGCUAUCCUUGUGGUUAAUUCUGGUUAUCUGGUACCAUGCUUAUGUUACAAGUAAGCAAAGCAACCUUGCGCUUUUUGCCUUAGUUGAAUGGGCAUGGCCCUCGAGAUAUAUGUUUUAGGCCAGUGUUGAACCUUAUGCACGGCCGGAGAGGAAUGGAGAUCAUACACAUUUUUGUAUUUGAAAUGGAAUGGAUGAUGAUUCAAGUGGGAACAAAUGGUCUCCUGGAUGGAACUGCCACGGCAUCCAUGAUAUUUAAAAAAAAAAGUAUUUUUGUUUCUCCAUCAAUCGUCCAAUCCUACCACCGGUCCCUAGUCCUGCUGACCCGUCAAGUGUGAGUAGGCCCAAUAGAGACAACUGAGAACUCUAGUUGGCAGAUAGCCAAAGAGUCCUAUCUAUUGUUGACUGUGAACCAUGUUUAUUUUUUAUUUUUAUUUUUUUACAGUCUCCUUCUAGUAUGUGAGAGUACUGAAUGUAGGGGCUCAAAAGUUUCCACAGUGAAUAGACCUGCCUAUUGUCUAUCCAACGCCAGAACACACCAUAUUUGACCUGGAAAAGUACUCUGACUUGCACUAGCACUAUUGACUUGCAAGCAAAGCUUUUCCUUGGUUCACAUAUAAGUUCGAUUAGGUUAUUACGGAAGGAGUACAUGCACAUCCAUUACUUCGCAACAAAUAUCUCAUCAAAUGGAGAGAGCAAGCAAGUGGAGGUCUUUGGUCCCGUCUUCUGUUGUUUUGGUACUCCCGUUCCUGAUCAGCCUUGUAUAUUCCAGCUGCACAGUUGCAUAUGCAAGAGACACUCCUUCCAGGACAAUCUCUAAAUGCUAGCCAGACCCUACUCUCAAAUAAUGCAGCCUUAAAAACAGACGCAAAGCUUAUACGUGAUAUUUAUCUACCUGUCGAAAUGACACGUAACAGAGGCUGAUCAAGCAUGGGGCAAGAAGUUUCCUGGUUCCCGGGACGAACCCGUCAGGAUGCAAAUACUUUCUGUGAUCCUCCAUGCCCACAAACCUCAGCAGUGACCCCGGAAUAGGAGGUACUUCGACAUCCAUGACACCCUCUAGCAUGCGAACAACUUGCCCCAUCAUUGGCCUGUGAUCCUCAGCAUCUUGAAUGCACCAGCAUGCAAUUCUGCAAGCUCUGCUCAGCUGCUCCACAUCUACAUCAUUCUCCAACCUACUGUCCAACAGACACAUAACAUCUUCUUCAUGCACCUUGACUGCAGCAAAGAUGGGAAAGUAAGUAAACUUCCCUUCCUUUAUUUUCUCCGCAUUCCUCCGCCCUGAUAUGAUUUCAAGAAGCGUCAUUCCAUAGCUGUAGACAUCAGCCUUAUGUGUGAUCGGCAUACCUGAGAUCCACUCUGGUGCAAGAUAUCCGAUGGUCCCUCACAUUGUUGUCGGAGCCCUGCUGAAAUCUCGAGCAAGAAGCUUUGCCAUACCGAAGUCUGCAAUCUUAGGACAGGAAUCUGCAUCAAGAAGUACAUUGUCCGGCUUCAUGUCGCAGUGUAUAAUGCAAUCCUUGCAUUGCUCAUGCAAAUAGGCCAAGCCUCUUGCCGUUCCAAGUGCUAUAUGGUACCGCAGUUCCCAGCUCUUGGUCGAGAUUUCAGCAGGGCUUACAAACCCGGAUGGAUGGAGUAUUUCUUACUAGCUGCUCCAGAUCGAUAUGGAGCAGAUACUCAAUUGGUUGCAAGAAAAAUCGACAUCCUCAGUGUGCCACUAAAAAACCUGUAGCGGGAGCUGCUUCAAUAUUUGAUUUCAGUUAUUAUCACUUUUUUUUUCCGGUUUUGAAAGUUGUAGGGCGAAAAAAGUAUGACUGUUUAGGGACGAAAAAUGAACUUCCCAACAAAAUAAGGGACUAAAAAUACUUUUCUCUUUUCCUUAAACAAUUUUAAAACUUUAUACAGACUCUUUUGGAAUUAUUUUGUACGUUAAUUUGUCUUGUUAAUAAUAUAUUUCUGAGCUGACGGAACAUUUGAGAACUGCAUAUACAAACCAACUGGAGGAAGAUAGUAGUACAUCAAACUGUUCACGAUUGAAAAGAAAAAAAACACAAAUAUAAAAUACAAGCACGCACAAUUAUACCAACAAGGUGUCGACGCAGAUCUAAACUCACAACCAAUGACAGACAAGGUUUCACUGUUGCACACACACACGCUCAGGCAUUCAUACAUACAUAUUCAUACGUGGUAUAUCCAGGCACAAAAAUAGAGAGAAUCACCCACGGCUCAGUUUGCUUCCAAUACUUGCUUCAAUGGAGCUUAAGUCGCUGAAGUGGCCAUUGAGCUCCACCUUUUCUAUCCUGUGAAGGCGGUCGAUUCCAGAGAGGCUGCCCUUCUUAGUCAUGUCCAUGGAGCUGUUCCGCCAAACGAUCCUCUCGAGCAUAGGGGCUGCGCCUUCUUCUUCAAAGUCAAUGUUGGUGACGUCUUCGCCCUCGACCAUGAGAAACCUGAGGACUCGGAACCCUUCCUUGGUGAAGACAAGCUUGCACUCCUUGUAUGAGUUGCGACGGAGCCGGAGGCAGCGCAGAUUAAGAAGCUUCUUGCCAAGGUUCUGCAGUGAUUGCGGUGACAACGAGGUGUCACACAGUGUAAUCUUGGAGAGAUGUUGGAGCUCCAAGAUCCAUUGAGGCAUCUCGGCGCACCCUAAGCCGCUGAUACUGAUGCUCUCAAGCAGUGUGGGUUUGUUGUAGUGGCCUUUAUUCAUCUCCAUGUCCACAGUGUCGGAAUCGUUGGGUGGAAUGAUCCAUACAGACAGAGAGCGUAGGCUGGGGCUCAGCUUGCUUAUUGCCAUUAGCAGAUGCCUGAUCAUGUUCUCUUGAGCUUCCUUGAUGGCAGUGGCAUUGAGAACCACGCCUAGCUUCCUAAGCUGCGGAAGGGCGCCAAUGUCUUCCAGCUCCUGCUGGGCGGCGGCAUCGAACCGGGACAGAAUUUCCACCUCUCUCAUCCUCCCUAUCUUGCAUGGCACGCAUGCGCCGGGUGGCUCCUUCUCCUCAGUCAUGGUCGGGCUGGCGAGCAGGUGCUUCAGCCUGGGGAGGAAGAUGUGCUUGGUGUCCUGCCGCACCAGGGUUCCCCGGAUGUCGAGCGUCUCCAGAAAUAUGAGCUUGCUGAUCUGCUUGGGCAGAUGGGGAACGCCUGUCUUCCGGAGGCUCAAGUACUUGAGCGUGAGCACGGUGCAGAUGCUCUUCAGGUGGCUCUUCCUUAGACCCCUGCAACCUCCAAGGUCCAGCACGUUCAGACGGUAGUUCUGGGGCAGGCAUUUGAGAAAGCGUACCAGCUUAUCCAUGGGCCUGGUGCCAUCCCGCCGCCUUGAGAACCCACAGAUGGUCCGCUGGCCGUCCUCCUCCGGUUGCUGCUGUUGUUCUUGUGCAAAGCGUCGGAUGCAAAGCUGGUUCUCAAGGUGAGCCGGCAGGGUGCUCACGAAGUUCUCAUUUUUGGACAUAAGGUCGACGAAGCCCCAGACUGUGUCGUCAACUUUGCAGCUCUUCACCUUGCUGCCGGCAAUGCCUCGGUCGACAACAACAAGGAAGCCUCGGAAGAGGAGCUCUCUGAAGCAGUGCUCCGCUGCUUCGUCGAUGGAGCCUUCACCUUGCUUCUCAACUAUGCCCUCCGCGACCCAUCGCCGGACCAAGCUGGUCCUGCUGAUGACGGCCUCGUCGCGGAAAGUGGAAAGAUACUGCAAGCAGCUCUUGUAGCUCCUGGACAACUUGCUGUAGCAGAAGACCAUCACUUCACCGGGCAGAUCUGCGUUCUCUUCCUCCUCCUCCUUGACUAAUUCUUUCACCUCUUUCAUGGUCCGGGCCGUCCGGCCGCCCAGACUAUUAUGUGACCGAAGGGCACGGAGGAGCAUCUCCAUGCACAUGGCGCGAUGGUCCAUCCGCGAGCAGUACUUUUGGAGUCCAUCACGCACUGUCCUCGCCGCCGAUCGAAGAUCCUCAUUAGGAAGGAGACCGAUGGCCUUGUCAAAAGACGGAGCUUCCUGCUGCCUGUCAUGCGCCAACGCACGCAGAAAGUAUUCUCUGUUGUCGACGUCGUCCUGUUUAGCUUGUCCCUCUCCCGGCCGCUGCUGAGCCUUCUUCGCGUCAGGGACCUUGACAUCGUAGCGCUGCCGCCUCUCCCCGACGUCAUGGACGCGGACCUUGAGCUCGCGGAUCCUGUUGGCGAGGCGGUGGCGUGCAGGGACGCUCCUGAGGAGCGUCGGGAGGUAGAGGAGGAAGGCCAGGAGACCCUUGCCCGGAGGGCCGGGGCAGUCGAGCUUGUAGCGCUCGAUGCAGUCGUGGGCGAUGUAGGCGAUGUCGCGGACCUGCUUCAUCCAGGCGCGGAGCUGGUCGUCGUGGUCGCCGUCGGUCUUGGUCAGGUGGAGGAGGAAACCGUUCAUGCUCUCCAUCUCGUCCUUGAUGAACUGCAUGUCGCCCUGCACGCCGCCCAGCAGCCGAGCCUCGUCCUUGAUCGCCGUCGACAGGAGGCCCACCAGCGAGUCCACCGCGCCUUGGGUCUGGUCAGCCAUCUCUAGCUCACUCUUGAUCUCUCUUCCCGAAUGCUGUGGAAUGGGUUUGGAUCUGAACCUAUCUACACGGAAAUAGCUUUUGAAAAACUCAAAUGGAACUUCGAGGGCGAAUAGAUGGUAAUGCAAGUUUGUGCACAACAAAGGCCGGCCGGUGCAUGGAUGUAAUGUAAAGAAGAGCACCUAGUUCUAUCUAUAAGGCAGGAGAUGAGGU
rnacentral:lncRNA from 1 species